CUUUCCCUUGUUCUGAAUCACAAGAAAUAGAUUGGGAGAAUCUGGAAUAUUGCAAACCAAAGUUAAAAAGGCCAAAUAUUGUCUAAUGUGAUCAUAAUGACAAUUCAUACUCUUUGCUAUUGUUGGAAACUUGCAACCAUUUAUAGUUAGAGGAUACUUACCAUUUCCUGGAACUCGCAAACAGGCAGCAAACCUUUUAUUCGUAUCCGUACACAUAUUAGAUGAGUUGCAUUCUUCAACUUGAAAACCAUCAUUACUUGUUAGUGAAGGCGGCGGCGGCGGUGGUUCGACUGAGUCCUGUAUAAUGCCAUUCUCUUCAUUCACUUUCUUGGGGUCCACGCUAUCACCCGGAGUUUCCUUUUGCUCACCAUCUGUCAUCCCCUCGUCUUCAAUAUCCAAUUGUUCCUGGCCCUUGUGCGUAUAAUCACCUUCUUUCCCACCAUCAGUCUUUCCUUUUGCUUCAGCAUUCGAUGCUUUCUCGCCCUUUUCCAAAUUCUCGCCUUCAUUCAAACCCGAUUGCUGGUUCAGAUCGAUCUUACUUGCACCAUCAACAUCCCCUUUUGAUCCAUCAAUUUCAUUGCCACCGUCAACUUCCCCACCAUCUGUCUUUCCUUUUGCUUUAGCACUCGAUGCUUUCCCACCUUUAUCCAAAUUGUCGCCUUCAUUUUUACCUGAUUGCUGGUUCAAAUCACUCUUACUUGUACCACUGUCAACACUUUCUUCUGAUCCAUCAACUUCCCCAACAUCAUUCAUCUUUCCUUUUGCCUCCUCACUCGAUGCUUUCCCACUUUUAUCCAAAUUCCCACCUUCAUUUGAACCUGAUUGUUGGUUCAAACCACUCUUACUUGCACCACUAUCAACACCCUUUUCUGAUCCAUCAUUUUGAUUACCACCAUUAUCUAUCACUUCACCAACUCCAAUGGAAUCCGAAGUAGAUUUAGAAUGAACUUCUAUAACUGGAUCUACUUUGCCACCUACAUUUUGAUCGAAACCACUCUUUCCAUUAACAUUCCCCUAAAACCAAACAUCAAUGAGAAACCGUCUUAAUCCCAUCAUCGAAAUAACCAAUUCAAUAAACAUCUAUCAAAUUUUUAAAAAAAGAAAACCUCACCUCUGUAUCAUUACCUGAGCAACCGACAACAACUAGCAGCAGAAAAAUUCCCACCAAAACAACAUAAUUCGUUUCCAUAUUUUAAGAUACAACCACCUUUUAGUGCUACCAAAAACAACCUAUUUAACAUAGAAUUCAUUUAAAUACAUACAUAUAAAAUUUCACUUGGAAAGAGUUAUAUAAAACAAGGAGGAGGUUUCCAACCUUUAAAUGAAACCUUGUUGGGAUGCCUGUUUUCAACAGCUUUACACUUCAUUACUAAGUUUAUUUCCUCAUCCAAAUUAAAAGGCUUACACAUUGAUCGAAUAGAGAGCUUUUGAAUGAGUUUAAUAGUAGAAGAGAAAGAGGGUGAGUUUGACCAGAGAAUUAAAAAACGCCAUCUUUUUUGGUUCUGAGAUGCAAAUCGUUGUCUUUCUGACAAUUUGUAAUGCAACGUUAAUUCCUUAUUAGCAUAUGUCUUGUUCCGGGAAGGCGGUUUCUGUCGUCAAUUUCGAUAAAAAAAGCUUGCUAAAUGUCUAUCACCAAAUACAAAAUGUUCGACGAAAACUAAGUAAUCUAAUAAAUAUUUAAUUUAGAUGACUGUAUCUGCACGGAUAUGUUGACAUCAAAUAUACUAUUAUAUGUUUCGAGAUAGGAAAGUUAAUUUAAUGUUACAGGCCUGGUUUUUUGUGACAAUGACCCAAAUUUUGUAACCAAGUAAGCUCGUCGGCUAGUCUUAUCCGAAACUUUCUAAAUACCAUUGGUGGCCAAUUGCAAUCGACCUAAUACUGGAAGCAAGCCAUUAAUGUUGACUUCUUCCGCUGAGUGAAUGAUGCUUCCAAAAUACUGGUAGAGCUAUUCACCAGCCUUGCCUAGCGAAUUCGCUUUUGCCAGCUAGUUCAAGUGAUACUGUGUACCUCAAAAAUAAUUUUCAAAUCUUAUCAAAGACGAGACUGAAAUCGCUUUUUGAAGAGUGGUCGUACGUUCACCUCAAAACCCUCCCUAACAAUAAUAUUGAUUUCUCAAUCAACAAUUAUUUUUAUAUUGCACUCUUCAUAAAUUUAGAUUUUAAUCUAUAUACUUCUAUUUCUAACAAUUUAAUUUAAUCCCUUUACUCAACCAAAAUACAAAAUAUUCCACGAAAACCAGGUAAUCUAAUAAAUAUUCUAUUUAGACUAUAUUUGCUCGGAGAUGUUGACAUCAAACAUACUGAGUAUAUUCCGACGUUGGACUUUGUUGAUCUGAAAGUGAAACUCAAUCUUUUAAGAUGCUCGAAAUUCAAGCAGGUUUAGCAGUAUUGAAAAGUUUAAUUCUUUAAUUUAUGAUUUAAUCCUUCAAAUAUAUAUAUUUACUUAAGUGCUUCAAGUAUGCCUCUGUUAUAGCACCACACGACUUUCUAUUGCAAAAAAAUAUAUCUGGAAGUAAUUUUCUGUCGUUAGCUUUGAUGAGAAAAAGCUUGAACUGUUGCUAAAUGUUUAUCACCAAAUUACAAAAUGUUGGAUGAAAAGAUGGAAUACAGUCGCAUUAGGUGGGGCCCACCGAUUAGGGGUGUAUUGGCUAUGCCAAUACACCAAACCAAACAUGCUCUUAAUUUAGAUGAGUGUACGCGUAGGGAGAUGUUCAAAUCAAACCUACUAUAUUUUGACGUUGGAUUUUGUUCUCUUAAAAAAAUCUUAAUAUUUUAAGAAGCUCAACAACAGUGGAUUGGACCUGGACCCAAACUUUAUAAGCAGGGAACCUAGUGGGCUAUGUUGUAGAUGAAUGAAACUUCGCAAAUGACAUGAAGUGGGGCACGAAUGGGAUCCUCUGAGUGAUUUGUGUUUGACCAAGCCAAGUAAAUUUUAUACGCAACUGUAUCCGAUCAAAGCUCUGAUCAGUUGCUUUCCGCCAACCUGGUCCAUGUGCCAUGCAACCCCACCCCUAAAGAAAAAACCCUAUACUAGGACGUAAACAGAUAUCUUGUAAAUUACUCGAUUGGGUUUCUAACACCAUCUAUAAUAUUGGUAAAAGAAUUUUUUUAAAAAAAAAUUAUUGGAUAAUGAAUAUAAGUGAAAUGAUAAGGAAUUUGUAUUUUAAUAUUAUAGAAUAUGUGCUCAAUCAUUAGAUUUAUAAUUAAGGGGUGAAAUUAAAAAUUCUUUGAGGAGAUCGGAACUAAAUUAUAAAAUUUUAAAGAGAUUCAAAUAUAAUUUUACCAUGUAUUAAUUUAUAAUCUAUUAUUUUUUAAUGGAUCAAAUAAAAUUUUUUCAUAUUUAAGGGGGAAAAUGUAAUUUUUACCAUAUAUUAAUUUACAAUUUUAUUAUUUUUAGAAAGAAUAAACUAAAAUUUUACAUUUUUAGGGGUAAGGCCCAUGCUAGCCCCCAAUCUUCACCUCUAAUACCAACUCAGUAAAGUGCUUAAAUAUAGUAAGAAUAAUUACAGACCAAUAUACAACAAAUUAUGGCUUCUAGAUCUACCCUCAAAAAUUAAGAUUAUGAUAUAGAAAUCUAUACAUAACUAUUUACAACUCUAGUUAAUCUUUAUGAGCAAAAGUUGGUGGGCUCAGCAAACUGUCCAAGAUGCCAGGGAGGGGCAGAGAGGCUGGAGCAUGUUUUUAGAGACUGCUAUGCUGCAUCAGAAAUAUGGGCAAAUCUAUAGAUUGAAUGGCCACAAGAGCAGAGUCAUGCAGAGUUUAAGGAUUGGAUGAUGUUUCUUUUUAAUAGUUUUCUGGAAUCGUCGGUCUGCUGCAGAACUUGGAAAAUGAAAAAGAGUGGAAAAUGUGAAAGAAGAGGACCGAGGCUGACUGCUGAUUUUAGUUUUAGGGGAUUUUAGGAUAAUUAUUAGUAUUAAGUUAGGACGCGUGGGCUAUAAUCUGAUUAGGUUUUGCGCUUGUAUACAAUAUUUUCUUCGAUAUUUUCUCAUGGGUUAAAUUAGUAUAGCUUAAAAGUUAAAUAAUUUUUGGGCUCAAUUAGAAAGGAAACAAUAAAAUUGAUAUUUCUAGCCCCAUUAAAAGGAAAAAUAAAAAAUCAUCAUAUGCAUUUACCUCCCGCUUUCUCUACGAUAAUCAUAAUGAAAAAAAAUUACCUUUAUAACUAUUUUCUUGAUAAGAAAAGUAAAAAAAAGUAAUUGAUAACCAGCAAUUAAAGUGAAAUUAUCAUAAAAGAAACUAAAUAUAUAGACACAAACAUAAAACAUUUGUUUUUCUAGUAUAAUCAAAGUAGUUUCAUUUCUAUUUUACUGAUUUAUAAAAAUUAAAAUUUUCAAAAAUUUACGAUUUUUUCUCUUUAAUAAUAUCGUCUAAAAAUAUAACUAUUAUAAAAUGAUUGUCUUUUUAAAAAAAUAUUGUUUACAUUCGUUUUAUAGUCUAUAUAUUAUCUCUCUUAAUAAUAUCAUUUCUAAAAUAAAAAGAUUGUAUUUAAUCACUAUAAAAUUAAUUGCUAAAAUAUAUAACUAUUAGAACCAUGAAAAAUUAAUAUAAAUUAUUAAAAUCUGUCAUAUUAAAUGUAAAAAUAUACCCAAAUUCAUUAAUAUGUCAUCUUCCAAAUUAGAGCUAUGCAUGGCAACGAAACACCUUAGCUUGGCGGUGCACGUGGCCCACAUACUCGGUACAUAUUUCAUCUUUAUUUUUUAAUUUCAAAACCAAUCAGUUAAAUGCCUAAAUCUAGCUAGCUUUCUUCAAAACCCUAAAAGAAUGGCUCAGUCAUAUAAUUAGUCCUUUUCAUAGAUGGAGAGACCAAACAGAUUUGUCAAACCGCCCUAUCCAUACAAUCAAUGAAUCUAAUAUAUUUCCUAUGACACCAAAAUGAAUUAAAAAUACUAUGAUAUAUUGAUGUAUUAUAUCAAAGUUUAUGUCGUAUAUUUAAUUAAAUGAGUGUUAUAAGAAAGAACAGACCGGAUCAAGACAGGCCAUUGAAGGAGAGAGGACCGGCAAAGGUCGCCCCUUUUAUCCAUUAUGUUUGGACCUUCUGCUCUCCAACGCUACGUUUGACUCUGUCUUGUGACUCUUGCCUGCCUUAAGCACCUUUGUUGGCUCACCAUUAUUAUUAUGUCUAAUAUGCCAUUUAUAGUUCACAUUUGACAUAGGUAGAGGCAGUUACCAAAAACAUCAAAAUUUAAAUACUAUAAAUAUGGUGUUAAAAAAUAGUAAUUAAUUUAUCCAUCCAAUUAUUUGGGAUACUUAUUUUUUCUUUGUGAUAACAAAAAAUGGAAUAAUAAACUAAAAGGAAAAAACGGGAACUAAAGGCAUAAGCAUACUGUCCAACCUUAACUGGAGACUGACUAAAUAGAGAGUCCUAUGAAAAAUUUGGACGCCAAUUGGGUAGAACUUCAUCAAACCAGCUAACGAGUGAGCGGUAAAAUUCACUUUCCUUGAGAUUUGGUUGAAAACUACAUUCCAAUCUCAGCGACAUAAGAUACUUAUUUGACUAAUAGAUUUGAUAAGUUAUUUUAUUAUAGGCACGAAAUUAAAUCACGUUUAAAGAAAAUUACUCUUUCGAAGAUACGAAUUUGAUUGGGUUUUAAGACGAAUAAUUCUUAACCAUUAAACUAAUCACGAAAGAGAUUAAUUUAAUUUUUGAAUUAUUAAAAAAAUGAAAUAAGACUAAUUAAAAUGUUUAACGAAAAAUACAUUAAACUACUAAUAUUGAUGGAAAACAUACGUGUCUUAAUAAAAUACAUUCAAUAUUUUAAAAUAAAUCCAAAUAAUAUAUAUACACACAAGUCUAAGUUGUGUCAAAAUGGCGGUGCUCAUGUUUUGCAAAAGGCAGGGAAAUGAGUUGGGUUUUCACAUCUAAACCACUAUUUUCAUGGAUUUAAGAUUAAAACUUUCAUAUGAACUCGCUGUAAAGCUCAUAUCUAUGUCAAACAUAUUCAACAUGUUUUCAACUUAUGAAAUAAUGGGCAAUAAUCCAACGAUUUCUAUAACACAAUAGAUAAGGUUUUUAUGUGUAUCUUUUGAGUCAUGACUUGAAGAAAGUCUUUCACUAUUUCAAAUUAACUUGGACUACUAUUUUAUGAUAAAAAUAUUUUAUUUUAUUUACGAAAAUUUAUAUUUGGAUUUUUAAUACUUUUUAGAUAAUAUCAAAAAUAAACGAAAACAUAUCACGUUAGUUUUUUAACCUCUGAGCCAUCUCUGGCUUAUAGUGAGAAAACGCAUUCACUGCGAUAGUGAUACACACGAUCUAUUUCUCUAUUUCGUCAUUUUUAUUUAUUCAGCUCAUUGGUUCAAAUGCAAACCUCGAGGGUUGUACCGAGCUAACAGAGGGGUCGAUUGGACAUAUAUAUAAUUAGGGCUCAAAUAAUUUGUAAUUAAGUUUCGAUUUUUUGUAUAUUAAUUACAACAUUACUUAGUCAUGAAGUCAUUCUACUAAAGUGCCAUGACUAAGCUCUCCCUAUUAUAUACCAUUAUGAAAGCAACAUAUCAAGUGUCUGUCCAACGACCUUAUCAUAUAUGUUACCUUCAUAAGAUAUCUUUAGUCUAUUUGGGUUAAAUCUAUUCACCCAAUAUAAUCCUAUUUUAUCUCAUAAUAACUAUUACAUAUUCUUUCAUGAAAAAAUAAAUUACUAACAUAUAGUAAUUAGAUAAUUUGUCUCAAACAAUUGACCAGUGGUCAUGUUACUUUUAUUUCUAUCAUCCAAUGAGAGGAUAUCAUUUACCCUUUAAUGGGCUAUGGACUCCACUAUCGUAAAUAAAGCUAUGUUAUGCUGAAGUAGUAUAUCCAACGUACCAGCUUUCGACUUUAUUACCAAUUAAAAUCAGACUUUCAAUACUUCAAAUUGUACGAGUCACAUAUACAUAGUCCGUCACUUAAUCAAAUUUGAGGCAAGCCACACUAUGACCAUCACAAGUGAAUAAAUUCAUUAAUAGAUCUAGGAUUUAUUCUACUUCGGUCUUGUCCGAUGUAUUGUUAGUCUAUACCAUCGCAUCUUUGUCUUUAUCUUCUAGGAGUUAUUUGUUCUAAUACCUAAGAUAAGGUAUCCCCUAAUUUGACUUGAUAAGCAUCACAAUAGUCAUUGAAUCAAUUUACUCAAUUUCUACUCAUUAGACUAUGGAUCAUUUAGAUUACCUCCUAUAUAAGUUGUCUUCUCUCAUUAUAAUCGAAUUACAUAAUGCAACUUAAUAUAGUUAAACGUUAGACAAUCAGUUAGUUAAUAUUUCUUUAUACAUUUUUGCUUUACGUACAAAAACUAUUGAGGACAAAUACAAACGAUAUUAAUGUGAAUGAUAGAAAUUUUAUUAAACCAAUCUAUUUGAAAAAUUACAAGGGUAUAUGAUGAAAAACUACUCUAAAGGUACUAGAUCCCAACACCACUAGCACCUUGGGAAUUAACAUCAAUGUCAUUAGGAAAGCUACAUGGCUAUUAAACUGAUUCCAUCUUCUUUGUAUGCAGUUUUAUUUCUCAGAGAAAAACUACAUGAGGAACUUUAACCUCUAACGAAUGCCAAAGUCUUUGAAUUGCACCUAGGCUUCCAAUUCCACGGGGAUUCCAACUUAACGUGCUCGUGGAUUCAAUAUGACAAAAUCUAGAAGCAACAUCAUUCUCGGAAACUUUAGCGUCCAGUUCACCAAUUUUCAUUAUGCAAUAUCAACAUCCUCUACAACACCAUCUCUUUUACUUACUGAUAAUUAAACAACCCAGAAGAACUAGUUGUCUUAUAGAUCUCGCUUGUCUCUUCUAAGUCCUUGUACCCUUUUUGUGAACCAAAAAAUUCUUGGAAACUUCUUUGGAACUAGUCUCUACAAUGACACCUGAAACCUAUGCUAAAAAAUUAGAAGUAAUGCAAUGUUCCAAUUGAGAUGCACCCACUAUAAACUCUCUUAUUGGAAUUUUAGCAAAAUCAACAAGGAUAAAUAUGAUAAUUUAACCACAAAAUCCUUAACUAGAACUUUAGAAAAUAUCGAUUAAGAUCUAACGUAAAUUUUUAUCAAUCAAAAUCACUAGAAAACAAAACCAUCUUGUUCAAUCUUGUUGACCAAUCUACCCACCUUAGGAUUAUCCCCCAUGGGUGCAACAUCCAAAUACAGUUCUUUCACAACCUCACUUGCAAUAUCCGAUUUAGAAAAAGAUCUAACAUCAUCUAUCAUAUUAGAAAAUUCAACACCCUAAGAAUUAGCAUUCUCCAUCGCGUCUCGUAGGCAUCAUCAAAAUUAAGACAUUGACUAUUAGGGUGAACACAUUCAACAUCACUAACUAUGGUCAAGUAAACCAGAAACAUGAAAAAAAAUUGUAGGAAGUCUCUCACAUUUUACUUGACGACAUUGAACAAUCCUUCCUUGAGCUCCCUUCAACAAAAUAUAGUACAACAAGGCCUAUAAACAUCAAUCUCUAAUAUGAUAUAAAUAAAUUUUCCUCAGAGCAUAUAGUCCAACAGUAAAACUAUAUGAUUACUGAUACAUUUAGCCGUAUAUUAAUUUAUCAUAUUGAAAAGCAAAUCAUAAACACAAAUACAAAAUGAUGCUUUAUUAAAAAUAUAAUCGAAAGCUAAAUAUCACCACCAUAAUCUUUGAUGUUUGCACUUCUAUAUUGAUUAGGUUGGUUUAUUCUUUAAAUGUAUUUGAUUCAAAAUUUUAAAAUCGAAGCUUUUUUAAUAACUAAAGUUUUCAAAACUAGACUAGUGGUCGAAUUAGUCAGAUUAUUAAUUUGUCAAUUCAAUUGGUUCGAUAAAUUUAUCUAGUUCAAUUAAACAAAUUGUUAAAAAACUCAUAAAAAUAAAAAAAAAUUAAAAAUCUAAUUCAACCUAUUUUGACUCAAUUUAACUUGUCCGUAGUAAUUCAAAUUCUUUUUGUCUUAAUAAUUCAAUCGAUUCUAGAUUUGACCGGUUUGACCCGAUUUUAAUAACAAUUAUAAAAGGAAAUGAGAAAAAGGAUUUUGUCAUCGUGACAUCAAUUGUUAGUGAAAUGACGUAGAGUAUUAUUAUUCUAUUUUUUAUCAGAGUAAACCGACGUCGUAUUUAGCCGCAGUUGCGUGGCCGAGUAAAAUCUUCGGCGGGGAAUGAAAUGAAAUCACGAGAACUCCAAAUUUCUCUCCUUUAGGAGGCGAUGACUGAAUGAAAAACCUACACGUGGUAACGUGCCGGGGCCCAGGGAACUGGACCACCGGCUUAAUGUCGGCGUCGCCUUUGGAACAAGUCCAUGCAUUGCAUAUCAUAUACUGCCAAAACCCAACUUUUGUUAGUCUCCCUCAUUUAUUAUUUCCUAACUAUACAUAAUAAUUACCCCUUUUUUAGCUGUCUUUAGGUACAACGAGUAUUUCUUUUCAAAAUUACUUCAGUACCCUUUUUCUAAAAUAUUAUCUCACUAUUUUUAAUUCCUAAUUUGAACUCUUUUUUUUCUAGAAUUAAAUAGUAUAUUUUUAUUAUUUUAAUAGUUUAUAUUUUUUAUAAUUUUAAAAAAGUUAAAUUAAAUUAUUAUUAUUUUUUGAAAAUUAAACUAAAUAUAUAUUAUUACUAAUUUAAAAUUUUAUAAAUUAUAAAUAGCAUAAAUAAAAAAUAAAAUUUUAAGGAAGGUGAAGCCCUUGCUAGCCCCAUUUGGCUUCGCUACCUGAAUCAUGCGAUGUGAUCUAUUAUAAAAUACAAAUAUAAUUUAAGGUAUGGUCUUAAGAUUUACCCAUAUAAUUACUAAAAUAAAAGCUAAUAAUAAUAUUAAUAUUUGAAGUAUUGGUUCAUACGAACAUAGCCAUAAAUUCAGUAUAAAAAAAGUCAUUAAUUUCAAGUUUUGGUUGAAAUUAAAUUUAAUAUUUUUUGAAAAAAAUAAAGCAAAUGGGAGAGAGAAUAGAAGGAAGAUAUGGGGAGUGCUAUAGGAUUGAGUUGUGAGUGUGAAGGGAUAAUUAGGUUUUGGUCACAUGCAAAUACGUCAAAUAGUCCCAAUGGUAUCCAUAUAUAUGUGGGCAUUGGAGGGCCGUCUUUCACGAGCUUUGUUGUUGAUAAGAACCUUUACGAUUUUAAUGCUCCACAUCAACCCGGGAUCCCACUUUUGAUGAUGCUGAUGCCUACCUUUCUAGUCUCAUGAAAUUUUCCUCAUCAUGUUUGGAUAUGGUCUUGUUUAAUGAGUUAUUAAUAUUUAUAUUUAUAAAUAAAGUCUUUUUAUCAUUACAACAACAACAAUAAAAAUCAAAUUAAAAUUAAAAUUUAAUCCAUCAUUGAAAUUUAUGUUUUAAAUUUAUAACAUCAACAAAAUAUGGGAAAGUUUUUAAAACGUAGUUUAGAGUUUUAUCAGUGUUUAGCAAAGAUAAUAUGUAUUGUAGGUGUACUCUAUUGGGAAGUUCAUAGAAUGGAACUGUGAGGCCGAAAAAUCUGACGCAGAGAGAGAGAGAGAGCGCAGUAAUGGCAUUUGGAUUUUGUGCUGAAGAAGAAAUUUAAUAUAAAUAAAUAAAGAUAAAAAGGAAGAGAGAGAAAAACAUAAAAUUGUGGCAGAGAAAGGAGGAGCUGACUCUGUUUUUGUAAUAAACUCAAAAAGUAGGUUUUUAGGGGCAGUGAAAAGUACGGUCACGUGCUGGGACCCACGCGUAAAGUCAAAUUUCAGAUUUUUUUUUCUCUAUCCAUCAGAUAUGUCGCAAACGCAGUAUGACCCUUUCAACCUUCUUUUAUCUGUUCUCUCAUGUUUGAUGUUCUAAAGUUAAAGUAAAAUAUUAAAUAAGGGAAAUUAUUAAUUUCCAUAAAUAAAUAUUAAAAAUAAAUAUUUAUAAUAUUAUAAAUAGAAGAGAAAUUCACAUACAAUAUAAUAUUAUAUUAUAUUAUAGAAUUUUACGUAAAUUAAAAUUUUUUAAUUAUCAAAAUUUAUGUAAAAAAUUUACAAUGAUUGAAUAAAUGCACAUAGAAAGAAACAUUUAAUUAUGACAAAGGGUGUGGGUUUCGCGGGACCUCGCCCCACUUCACACCUAAUUGAGCAAGGAUGAGUACAGGUUUCGCAGGUGGUGGGAUAGGGAUGGAGAUAAAAAUUAGACCAGUCAUUGGUAGUAGGGCAGGCAAGAGUAUGACAUUUUACCGACCUCACAUAAUAUAAUAAGCAAAAUUAAAAUGUAAAUAUUUAUAAAAAUUUAAUUUUAAUAAUAGUACUGAAUGUAUUCCAUACUUUUUUUUAUAAAAAAUAAUUUAUAUUUAUUUACUAAUAUUUAUAAAUAUAUUAUAUGAAGUGAGUCGAGCAUAACGGAGAUUAAGUGGGUUUGGAACUAUUGUGAGUGGUGAGACAGAGAUGGUUUUGAAUUUGGUCGCGAGGCAAGGAUGGGAUAAAGCUCCUCGUACCCACCCCGCCCAAUUCACAUCCAGACCAAUAAUACCAAGAAAUCAGAUAAUGCAUUUAAUAUGUAUUUUAGUAUUAGUUUUAUGCAUUGGUAAGUCAAAGAAAAAAAAAUGAUAUUGCAUUAAAUAUAUAUUAUUAUUAGUUGGAGCUGGACUCACUGUGCGGCUAUAAAUACACCAAAGCUUGAGCCAGAGACAGCUCUCAACACAGUUAAAUUCUAAUCUCUUCCUUUGAAACCCCCAAAAUAAAUUGUUUUUCUUCAUUUCCACUCCAAAAAUCUGGGUUUUUCUUUUCUCACAUAGCAUUUGCCCCUUGGCUUUAAAGUUGAACCCAACAUUUCUUCAUCGUUAAGCUAUCCAUAUUACCUUUGGUCUCUGUUUCAAACAAAGAAUCAUACCUUUCUUUCCAAGUUGGAAUCUAUUUUGAGGAACUUUUUUUUUUAAAGGUUCCUCUGUUUUUCCUUAAUCCAUUUUUAUAUUGCCUUUUGGUUUUUGUUUUUAAAAGGAAAAAAGGGGCAGUUUUUAAAGUCCUGUUUCCUGUCUGAAUCUUCCCUCCCGCACUCUGUUUUCAAAAAAAAAAUGCAAGAAAUCUAUCAUCCUUUUGGAUUCAACAAUGGCGUUGAUAUUGGAUCUUCGUUAUCACAAAUCAUACUAUCAGGAGGCUAUAAUACUUUAGAUUCAGUGUUCUCUCAUUGCGCAUCACUACCAACAGCCAUUGCCACCAACUCUGUUUACGAGCCAUUAGGUUCAUCAGUCUAUCUCCGCCAGAGGGAUCUCCUUCAAAAAUUCUGCCAUGAAAACAAAGGGAACCCUUCAUUUUCAGGAAAAUCCGUAAAGGGUCUUCUUCAAAACUACCCAAAUCCUCCAUCGACGACCAAUUACUUGAGCCCACCUCGAAAGAAGAAGCUUUACAGGGGCGUGAGGCAAAGGCAAUGGGGCAAAUGGGUGGCUGAAAUCAGACUCCCGCAAAACAGAGUCCGAGUCUGGUUAGGCACUUACGACACAGCUGAAACCGCCGCUUAUGCCUAUGAUAGAGCCGCGUAUAAACUUAGAGGCGAAUACGCGAGGUUGAAUUUCCCGAAUACCAAAGAUCCAAGUGAGUUGGGGUUUGCAGAUUGUGCUAAAAUGAAUGCUUUAAAGAACACAGUGGAUGCUAAGAUUCAAGCCAUUUGUCAAAAGGUGAAAAGAGGGAAAGCUAGAAAGAAAGCCAAAAGAUCACCUGAAGCUGAAAAGCAAGCGAAAGUUCCAGAGCCAUGUUCAUCGUCUUCGUUGUUAUCGCCGGCGGUUUUUAGCGAAAAUUUAAGCAACGAAUGGCCGUCGCCAUCGGUGUCCGAAGAUGGGUUUUGGAGAUGUGGGAAUUCGCCGUCCUCUGUUUUGAAUGACUAUCCGUCGAUGAUUACAGAGGAACCCAUGUUUGAAGACUGUUCGCUUGCAAGAAUGCCGUCUUUUGAUGCUGAUUUGUUAUGGGAGAUUCUUGCUAAUUAGGAUAAUAAUUAUGUUUCAUUUUUUUCCUCAAAAAAUCAAAUAUCUUCAGCAGAUAGCUGUUGUUUUUUGUUAGGUACUUACUUCUAACAAUGGUGUCAUGCUGUUUAUGUGGUCUGGUUUAGGGUUUUAGUUUUUAGUCUUCUCUUUUUCCUUCCUUUCGAUUUUGAGGUAUUUUCUGAGUUUGGAUUUUGUUUUUCUUCUCCAUGAAACAUAUUAAUAGUUAACCAUGUUUCAUGAGCUUCUAUUACAUUAAAAAAAUGUUACCCAAUUAUUAUAAUUUUAUAAUAUUUUGUAUAAUUAAAUAAUUACAUAAACUAUAAUUCAAUUAUAUAAAAUAUUACCAUUUUUGGGAAUAUUUUAUAAAAAUACAUAAAACAUUAUCUAAUUAUACAUAAAAUUUACAUUAAAAAUCAGUUAUUGUUUAGUACGGUCGUGGACACCACUAGUAUUGAUGUUCCAUUUGGAUUUUACCGUAUCAGUGCACAAGUUUUUUUUUUUUUUCUUUUCUAAAAAUUUCACCAUUACAAAGUUAAUACAAUUACACGUAUAAGAUAUUUAUAGAUACAAAUAUAUGUUUGUGUUGAAUUAUAAUUGAUACAAUGCAAAGCUAAUCCAAAAUCAAACAAAAACUGAACUAAUAUGUAAGGAAGGGAAUAAAAUUCACACAAAACUGAACUAUAUACCAUUAUUACAAAUGGUGGAUCUCGAACUCAAAACUUUUAUGGACUUGACCACCGUCUAGUUCUCUUGGUUAAACACAUUAAUAAUCUCCAUCAAAACAAAAUGCCAACAGAAAAUGAGUAUCGGAUUCGACAGAGUUGCCUGAAAACACAAAAGAUCAAGUUAGAGCCUGCGGUUAAAUAUUCUUCUUCAUCUUUUUUAUGAUUCUAUGUAUGAAGUAGGAAAUAUGCUCCGAAACCACAUUUUUGCUAAUAAACUGUUUUCACUGCAAAUUUAUCUUUACAGGCAAACAAGUUUUUAUGAAACACAAGCUGACUAAACAUUACCUGAGAAUGUUUAUUAAGAAAAAAACAAUGAAAUAAUGAAAAAUAAUCCAUAAAUGCAAAACCCCGAUGAACAUAAUCGAAUUAUAAAUAACAGGGAAUUCCUCUAGGCUGCCCUCUGGACUCUGACACUUUUCGAGAUUAUUUCCUUUAGAUCAUCGCAGCGGCUGCGGUGAUAAUCGAUCCACAAGCACAGCUGCCUAAUGGCUUCUCUCUUCUCCUCUCCUAGUCCGUGUAUGCCUUGAUCUUUCUCUUUCAUUGCUGUCUCCAAGACUUUCAUCUUCUUCUCCAGCUGAUUCAUAGCUUUUAGCAGAUUCUCCUUCUCCACUUCUUCCUUGUUUGCCUUAAUCCGUAGCUUCUCCACUUGCUCUCGCAGAGUAGAUUCUUGUUCUUUCUGAUAGUUCAGCUGCUCAAUCAAGUUUGUCACUUCAUUUCUUAGUCGCUUCUUUUCGCUUUUUGUCUCUUCGGCCCAAUGUUUUGCAAUCCUUAGCUCUUUCGAUGUUUCUUCAAUGCAUUCCUUGUAGCUUCUACACUUCUCUUCAAAUUUCUGGAUGACUGCUUCAAAUCCAGUCAAGGUAAUAUUCACAUUCUCGGAGAUAUCAGUGAUCAUCUUGCAAUAGGCUUCGUUGUUGGCAGCAAUUAUUCCAGAUAAUGCUGAGAUCCUUUCUUCAAGCAGUCUUUGUUCUUCCAGGUACUUUGCUUCUGCUUUUCUGUAGCUUUCUUCGUUCUUAGUUAGUAACUGUUCUGUGACUCUAAGUUUUUGGUUUGACAACCGGAGCUUAACUUCAAUUGUUCGGACAUUCUCAACCAAAGUACUGAGUUCAUCUCCUUUAAUUUCUAUAUCUCUUUUCAAGUCUUCAAUAGUUUCCUCCAACCCAGCAACAAUUUCAUCCUUAGAUUGAAUGUUCGUAUUGUGCUCUCCUGCCAUUUCUUGCAUCUUCCAUUCUGUGAUUUCGAUAAUUGCCUUGCACUCCUGAAAUGAAGUUUCAAGUUGUUUGUAUUCAUUGCUUAGCUUGUUAAAUGCAUCUUCUUGUUCUUUUAGCAUUCUCUGAUGAUCCGUGAUCUGGUUUACGAGGUCAUUUUUCUCAUCUACCUUUGCUUCCAAAUCUCUUUGAAGGUGCUCAACCAUUUGCUUCAGAUCAGCUGCUAUCUGACUUUUAGAUUCAAGGUUUGUACAGAAUUCUUCAGACAUUUCUUCUGUCUUCCUUUCAGCAAUUUCAAGACUUGCCUUGCACUCUUGGUAUAAGCCUUCAACCUCUUUGUAUUCCUCGCCCAACUUCUUAUAUGCCUCCCCCUGUUCUGUUAGCAUUCUCUGCUGAUUGCUAAUUUGGCUUUCUAGUUCGGAUUUCUCGUGCUCAAACUCAGCUUUCACUCUCUCAAGCUGCAACUCCAGUUCAUUUCUCUGGGUCUGUAUUGAAUCCAACUGCUGCUGCAAAUCGUUGACCUGUGCCACUAGGGCUGUUAAUUGGGAGGAAGUUUCAUUCUCCAAGCUGGCAUGCUUUUCCUGGAGAGCAUUGAACUCGAGCCCUCUUUCUGCCAACGUUCUCUCUAAUUCAAUGGUUUGACCCUGUAAACUCACUAUUUCCUCCCUCAAUUGACCAUUCUCUUUGAUUUUAGUUCUCAAGUCCUCUUCCAGUUCACCUUUCUGGUUCUUUAGAGAAAUGACCUCCAAUUCUAGUUCCUUCAUUUGUGCCAACAAACCCUCUUUCUCCUGUAGAACUCUCUGUUGAUCCUCAGUCUUGCUUACUAUCUCUUCUUUUGCCUUUUCUAUCUCAAUCAUAUGAUCUGAAAUAGCUUGAGUUUUUCUCUCAAGCUGAACUUCAAGUUCAGCUUUCUGGCUAUGCAUGGAUUCCAGUUUCUGCUGCAAUGUAUUUAUUUCAUCCAUCAAGCUCUUGACUUGGUUCGAUGCUUCAUCGCCUUUAACUACAAUAUGUUCUUCCAACUGAGCUUUCUCAGUCCGCAGCGACUCCAUGUCUCCUAGCAGAUUGUUAAUCUGCACUGUCAAAUUCUCCACUCUAGAUAAUGAUUCUGUCUCAUUAUCCUCAAACUUCUUUGUGAGAGUAAAAAAUUCUUCUUGUCUCGUCUUUAAUACCCUCUCGAGUUCUGAAAUUUGAUAUUGCAGUCCCAUAUUUUCCUCCCUCAGCUGACCAUUCUCUUCGAUUUUAGUUAUCAGGUCCUCUUCCAGUUCACCUUUCUGGUUCUUUAGAGAAAUGAACUCCAAUUCUAGUUCCUUCAUUUGUGCCAACAAACCCUCUUUCUCCUGCAGAACUCUCUGUUGAUCUUCGGUCCUGCUUACUAUCUCUUCUUUUGCCUUCUCUAUCUCAAUCACAUGAUUGGAAAUAGCUUGAGUUUUUCUCUCAAGCUGAACUUCCAGUUCUGCUUUCUGGCUAUGCAGGGACUCCAGCUCCUGCUGCAAAGUAUUUAUCUGAUCCAUCAAGCCCCUGACCUGAGUUGAUGCUUCAUCGCCUUUCACUACAAUAUGUUCUUCCAACUGAGCUUUCUGGGUGCGAAGGGACUCCAUGUCUGCUAGCAAAUUGUUGAUCUGCACUGUCAAAUUCUCCACUCUAGAUAGCGAUUCUUUCUCGUUGUCCUCAAACUUCUUUGUGAGCGUCAAAAGUUCUUCUUGUCUCUGUUUUGAUAUCAUCUCGAGUUCUGAAAUUUGGGAUCGCAGUCCUAAACUUUCCUCCCUCAGCUGACCAUUCUCUUUGAUUUUAGUUCGCAAAUCCUCUUCCAACUCACCUUUCUGAUUCUUUAAAGAAUUGACAUCAAAUUCUAGUUCCUUCAUUUGUGCCAGCAAACCCUCUUUCUCCUGCAGAACUCUUUCUUGAUCCUCGGUCUUGCUUGCUAUCUCUUCUUUUGCAUUUUCUAUCUUAAUCACAUGAUCGGAAAUAGCUCGAGUUUUACUCUCAAGUUGAACUUCAAGUUCUGCUUUCUGACUCUGCAGGGACUCCAGCUCCUGCUGCAAAUUAUUUAUCUGAUCCAUCAAGCUCUUGACUUGAGUCGAUGCUUCAUCAUCUUUUACUGCAAUAUGCUCUUCCAACUGAGCUUUCUGGGUGCGUAGUGACUCCAUGUCUGCUAGCAGAUUGUUGAUCUGCACUAUCAGAUUCUCCACUCUAGACAAUGAUUCUUUCUCAUUAUCCUCAAAUUUCUUUGCGAGAGUCAAAAGUUCUUCUUCUCUCUUUUUUGACAUCAUCUCAAGUUCUGAAAUUUGGGAUUGCAGUCCUAUAUUUACCUCUCCCAGCCGUUUUACUUCACUUGCUUUGUUCUCUAUCUGCAGCACAUGUUCUCUAUUUGUUGCUCGCAAUUGUUCCAACUCGAGUUCCAAGCUUGUCACUUGUGCCUCUAAUUCUUUUAACUGGGCAGAUGAUUGAUUCCCAUGCACCUCAUGCAACUCUUGGAGCGUCAAAAGUUCCCUUUCUUUUUCACCCAGUUCCUCUUUUGACUGACUCAUUUCAACCAUGAGUUGUUGUAUGGUGCCCUGGGCCAGCUGAAUCUCAUUUGAAACCUCAGAAAGCUUCAAGUUCAGGGAGUUAUUCUCUUCCACUGUAGCAUUAAGACUGCGGCUCAAUUCUGAAACUCGCUGUUCUGAAGAUUCCAGCUUUUGCUGCAUAUCGGAAACUUCCCCCCUAACAGUGUCUAGCUCUUGCUUUAAACUUAUAUUUUCCUCCUUCAGCAAACUAACUUCUCUUCUAAGAUCUUCUGUAAACUUCUCACCAUCUUCAAUUCUUUUAACAGCAGUUUCUUUCUCUAGAAUUAAGUUAUUGUUUUCUCGAUACAGCUCCUCGGACCUUUGGUUCAACUCGGCUUCCAUCUUAGCCGCAGCGUCCAGCUUAUGCCUCAGCUCUUCAUUCUCAACCACAAGUUUUGAAUUUUCACUCUCUGAUCUUUCAGAGUCAAGCAUCAGAUUUGUGAUGAUUUUCUCUGCUUCUCGCACCUUGCUUAAAGAAGCAAGAUAAUCUGAAUUCAAUGCAUCUUUUUCUUCUAUUGUAUCUGUCAGCUUCUGCUUAAGAUCAGCAAUUUCCAAAUUUGCUGUUUCAAGUUCUUGUUUAAUGCCUUCUGCUAUUGCCUGAAGUUCUCUUUCCAAGUGCCCAUUUUUACUGCCCCCAUCUUUUGAAUAACCAUCAGAGUCGGAAUCUGAGCUUGAUGAAGAGGAUGCAUCUUUUUCUCCUUUGCCAUGAGCUUUUUUCCUCAGCUCCCCUGUGAGAUGAUCAUAGUGUGCAUAGAGGUUUUGGUAGUGUUUGUGGAAAUCCUCGAUUAACUGAACAAGUGGUUCCUUCUUGGAGUUAGCUAUUGGAACUCCAUUUUCUUCAACUUCUUCAUCGUUAAUGAGCUUCAAUAUUGUUGCCACCUUUUCAUCAAUUUCUGAAAUGGAGGGAGCUUACAUUUGAGAUUAAAACAUGAAGCAAAUCAUAAGUGGAAAAUCAUGUUAAGCUGAUUGUGGCAAUUCAGAACAUCCCGGAACCAAAUUCUAUGAUACUCGGACUCACAUGUGAGUGCCAAUACGGGUAAUUGGAGGGGCCUUGAAGGGUCAUAUCCUCAUACCAAUGUUCAAAUAUGUGUUGAACAUAAGUGUCGAACAUAGACACUUAAAGAAAAACGAAAAUUCGGAGCAACGUAGAUCAAAUUUAUAGGUAAAAUAGAAAAUUGCACCCCAAAGAAAUCAGUAAAUGUAGAAAAUUACCUAUUUUACUUCCUUUAAGCUCUUCAUCCUUUUCUGGAUCAACAUGAUGCCCAAAGAAGGACUUUAUAGACUCCCUGAACCGAUGCUUAGUCAUCUCUUCAGAUUAUCAACUAAUUUUGCUCAGCAAGUAGGCAUGAAGAUAAGGCAAUCUAUAUCUCAAGCAUAAAAGCUGAAAAAACAGAAUUAUGGACACUUUGUAAUUAGUUUCAAACUAUGUCAACCAUAAACAAUACAACAUAGUCUUAGCCACAGAUUGGAUCGAUUGCAAAAGUAUAAAGACUAGUAAACUGACGGAUUAUUUCGGGUAUUAAUGGUCCCAAACUCACUCCCCUAUGCUAGAAAACUAUUGGCCCUCGUCUAUACGCAGACAAUGAAACAAGUUUCAAACUACACUGAAUAAGAAAAUCUUACUUUUGUUGUAUAAGUGCUACUUUUCUAAUAAAAAUAAGAUAAAAUCAAAAUAAAACCCUUUGCCUUUUUGGCAACCCUGCUUAAAAUACAAAAUCUCAAAGCAUCUUUUUUCAGCUUAAGAUGACAAAAUCCCAGACCCUGUUUCUUAUUGACAACCCAGCUUAAAAUGACAAGAUCUCGAAAAUUAUUUUUUUUUCUAACAUGGGUCCACAAAUCAAGGCAUGCAUCUUCAUUAAUAUUUAGUAUUUACUACCUUCAUUAUUAAGCAUAAUCAAAGUCGAAAAAGAAACUGACUAGACUAGCUGGUCGAAUUGGCACAGCCGAGAAUCGAAGGGUUAUUCGAUUAGAUGAUUUACAUGAGACUGGAAAAUCAAGAGAAACCCAUUUUUAUUUUUUUUUCUCUAUUUUUUAAGUUAUGACACCUGAACCCAUAAGCUCAUAGAUUCAAAAAAAAAAAAAACCUACCAUUAAGCCAAAAUGCAUGUUCUUAUAAAUCAUUUACUAGAUUUAUCAGUUAUUUAUUUUCUAACAUUUAAAAUUGUUUUAAGUAUUUAUUUAAGGAGUAAAUGGUCAGAAAAGUGGCAGAUAUGAUUCUAGCGUGGCGACACCUCAUCAUCACAUUCAUUGGGGAUGGAAUCCAGCCAUGCCAGAAACAGAGAAAGCUGAUUUGGAAUCGAAACGAUAAAAGAGAGCUAUUAUUUGAAAAAAAAAGGUGAGCUGUUCCUUUUGUCCAUUCAUUUUCUUUUUCCAUUUCAUUCAAAUAAGUCAAGGCCGGUCAGUCAAUCAUCACUCAAUUACUCAAAAACCUUUUUUCAUUUAUUAUAUAUGAAAAACGAAAUAUUAUUAAAACAAAAAAGAUAAUAAAUAAAAAACCAGUAAAGGAAUAGCAUAUCAGUAGAAAUUUGGCAUUACUGUCACCUGAGAUUCUGAGACUUUCUCGUAACUUUCCUUUCUCAAUCUUGUAUCGGAAGCUAUGCUAUAUUUCUGCAAAAACAAAUAAAUAUAUCUUUUGUUUAAAUUGAAACAGUAAAAAUAUUGAAUUUAAGAUAAAUAACCGAAUCAACACUGAUACAAGUGAUAAGUUCAAAAUGAAGAAAAUCUGAAGAUUUUUUUACUUGAACUGGAAAUCAUGAUCUAAUAAAAUUUCAUCUCUAGCCAUUUUUAAUUAUGGAGUUCGAAAAUCAAAACCACAAGGAAGUUCAAGGGAACAAAAAAGAUCUAAGUUAGUUUUAUGUUAAUGAAAACAAGUGACUCGAAGUUAAAAUUCAAUCAUAAAAUCAUAAAAGGGAAAUAACCGAACUAAAAUUCAACUAUCAAACUGAUCGAAGGUUUUUGAUUGAAACUGAAGUCCAAGUAAUCAAAAACAUGAAGUAAGUGAUGAUUAAUCAGUUGAUGAACAAAGGUUACCUUAGAAUCAGAGCUCCAAAGCUUGAUUAAGAAGAAGAAUCUGAAAAACAGAGCAAAAAAAGAAAAGAAAAAAACUCAGACUGAGAGAGAGUUCUGUUAUUUGAUAAAUAGAAAGAGCAUGAUGUAGCUUUUUCUAUUUUCAGGAUAUGGAAUGGAAUUUUUGGAGCCUUCUUUUAUUCUGAUUUUAAGUAACUACCCUUGCCUUUGUUAUUUUAUUUCAGUUAUGCCCUUUCAAUUUCUCGUCACGAGAGAUGAUCUGAACAAAUUUCAUUGGUUUUUCACGUUUAUUUCUUUAUUUUACCUUCUGUUCCAAUUGGCUGUCUGACAAUGAAAUAUCUCUAUUCAAAGAUAGUUGGAUUCAGUUACAGAAUAAAAGUAUAAUUGAUUCAAUUAUUAUUUACUGUAUCUUUGAAAUUUAAAUGUAAUUAAUCAUAUAUUUUUUAUAUAAUUAUUAUAAUUAUUGGAUUUUUUAUUGAAUUUAAAGAUUGUAAUUGUUAUAAUUAUUAUUUUUACAAGAAAAUUUAUCAUUUCCUAAAAUAUAUCCCAUCAAUUAUUUCUUAAAAUAAGUUUUUUUUUCAUUUUUGAAAGGAUUUCGACACCAUUUAUAUUUAUCGGAAUUUAAUAAAAAAAAUUUGACUUUUGAACUUCCAUGGGAUCAAGGAGAGAAAAAAAAAACUGAAUUUCUACUCAUAGUUUUAUAUAAUAAUAAAAAGGAGAAAAAAAUAAAAAAUAAGAAAAAUGGUUAGAAUGCUAAAUGUAACUCAACGAUCACGAGAGUGAAGGUUUAAAGUCAAAUUUGGUAGUCGAAAUUCUUUUUACUUGUCAUGUCUUAAGAUUUAAUGGUUAAAAUUCUAUUCUAAAAAUUGACAUUUAUGGGUGUUAAAGAUUUCUACACCAAAAACACGUAUUUUGGGAAAUAAUAUUUCUAUACCUAUUUUGAGAGUAAGUAAUUUGUUUUUACAAUUUUAUAUUUUAAAAGGUAUAAUGAUAAAUUUAACCAUUAAUAGUAUAUUUUUUGUCAAUUUAGUCUUUUUUACAUUAAAUUUAACCCUUAACAUUUAAAAAAAAGUUGAAUUGUAAUUCUUUUAAUGAAAAUACAAAUUAAAAUGUUAAUUUUUUUUUUGCGAUUAAAAAAAAUUACAUCAAAUUAAAUUGAUCAAAAACAUCCAUGACUUUAUCUUAAUUUAAAACUUCUAAUACACCAUAAGGGACUUUCAUCGUAAACUUAUAAACAUGUCUUCCAUUUUAAUAUUUAAAAUAUGAUAACUCUCGUAAUAAUAUUCAUGUAUAUUUUAUGAUAAUUUUGUAAUAUUGGAUUUUUAUUUUUUUUAAUAUCUCAUAAUCUAUUUUAAAAAUACAUGCCAUCAAAACUUGUGCCACUGCACUGCGGAGAUAUAUUUCCGCUUACGUUUCUAGUCACGAAACUUCCCGCUUUUUCACUUUUUAGCAACGUAAGCUCUUGUCCGAAUCACAAAUCCAUAACUCCCUUACCGUGAGCCAAAAUAAAAAUUUCUGUCACAUCAAUUUACUCAUAAAACAUAAGAUUAACAGAUCAAGGUAAAUCAAUGAAUAGAAUUUUGUCGCUUUUAUUAAGUUUAUGAAAUAAGAAUACAUUUGUUAAUGAAUAAAUGAGAUAUGUUACACCUUCAUAUAAAAUGACUAUUUUUCUUUUAAUUCCUAUUUUUGAAAUACAUGCAAAAAGGAAUCAUGUUUUUUUUUCUUGGUUCUACCAGAGACCAUUUCCUUGAGACGGUCAUAGCGUCUGCGGUGAUAGUCAAUCAACAGGCACAGCACUCUAAUGGCUUUCCUCUUUUCUUCUUCCCUACCCAACAACGCUUUAUCUUUUUCUUUUGUAAUCUUCUCCAUUUCUCCAAUUCGACUCUCCAGGUCGGCUAUGGCUUUCAACGGCUUCACCUUUUCUUCUUCUUCUUCUUUACUCAACUUACCUUCACAUGAAAGCUUUUCUCCAAGUUCUCUAUUUUCUUGCAUUAGCUUUCAGUUUGAUUCAUUCAUUGCAUUUUUGCUUGCAUUCAUUGAAUCCCUCAACUCCCUCAGCUCAGCUUCACAACUGGCAAGCUUCUCUUUCAGCUCACUAUUUUCGUGUUCUAGCCUUGAAAUGGAUUCAGUCAAUGAAUUCUUGCCUGCCUCCAUUGAAUCCCUAGAUUUCCUCAGCUCAACUUCACAGGUAGCAAGCUUCUCUUUAAGGUGUCCAUUUUCGUGCUCUAGCCUUGAAAUGGAUUCAGCCCAUGCAUUUUUCCAUGCCUCCAUAGUAUCCCUAGACUUCCUCACCUCAGCGUCACAAGUAGCAAGCUUCUCUCCUAGCUUUCUAUUAUCUUGCUCUAGCCUUGAAUUCGAUUCAGACAAUGCAUUUCUGGCCGUCUUUAUUGAAUUCCUUAACUUCCUUGUCUCAGCUUCACCGGUGGCAAACCUUCUCUCUAAGAGCUCCAUUUUCUUGCUCCAGCAUUUCCUUGUCCUUAACUUCCAACACAUUGAUAUUAAAUGUGGUUCCUGUCAAUAAUCGUCUGGCAAGCUUCGAGUUCGACUCCAUGGAUUUGUUAGUUUUUUCCUGUCUUCCUUUCAUGAUUCUCUUCUGAUCAGCAAUCCGCAACUCUAACUCGCUUUUCUCCAUCAUCAUGAACUCUACCUUCUGUUGCAGAAGUUCAACCUCCGCAGUCAAGGUCAUAGUCUGCGCGGUUUUGUUACUCCGUUUACUUUCGUAGUCCUCCUGAAUAGCAGAAAUCUCGAGGUACCUUUGCCGAAAUAGUGCUUCCAAUUCUACCAUUUAGAUGACUCGUUUCCUCUCUCAGUUGAUUGAUUUUGCAAAUAUUACUCCGCUCGUCAUCUUCUAAUUUAUGUUUCUGCUUGCGAAGAACGUCCACCUCGGAUUCUAACUCCAUCACCUGCAUCUGUAACCCUUCUUUUUCUUCUGCCAUUACCUGCUCAAUACACUCUUUCUAGCUAAUUCUUCUUUCAGGGUUUUCACUUAAAUCAAAUACUGGGAAGUUUCUUUAGAUUUCGUCUCAAGCAAAAGUUCCAACUCGAUUUUCUGGCUGUGUAGGGAAUCCAAUUCCUGCUUCAUUACAUCUAUCUCGGAACUUUGGGCACGUAAAUAGUCCAUCUCUGCCUUCAGACUAGUGAUCUGUACCAUUGACUCCUCAAGUUUAGAUGUUAAGUUGUUGUCAUUGUCCUCGACUUGCUUCAUGAAUUUAGUCGCUUCAUCUCGGACCUCCGAAACCUUCCCAUACAAUGCCUUAAUUGUCUUUCCUUGCAGUUUAGUUUCAGCUGUCUUAGCAUCAAGCUGAGCUUCCAAAUCUCUUUUCUGGAACUGCAGAGACUCCACCUCAUUUUUCAAGCCAAUUAGCUGCUCCUCUAGCUCAGUUAUCCGUCCCUCAUGCACCGUUUCGGAAUCACAAAGUCUCUUUUCUUUCUCAUCCGCUUCUUUUCUCAAAUCUUUGUUGAUGAUUUCGAUUUCUUGUAUUUUACUCAAAGCAGCCAAAUGGUCCAAAGCUAAAAGUUCGUUCUCUUCAGUCUUAGAGGCCAAUUGAUGGUUCAGGUCACCAAUUUUUUUUAAUGCCCUUUCAAGUUCUUCCUGAUGGUUUCGGUCAUUGUUAAACGCUACGCUGGGGUUAGUUUCGACAUCCAUCGACGAGUGAUUCUCCGAGUCUGAACCAGAGGCAUAAUAAGAAUGAUUUUCGGCUCAUUCCAAUCAGAAACCUUCUUAUCAGACUGUCGUUUAACAUUUUCAUACUGAGAAUAGAGAAACUGGUACUGCUUGUGAAAAUCCUCAACGAGUCCAACAAGUACGGGCUCCUUUUUCCCUCUUUCUCCUCUUGGCCAGCUUCAACAUUCUUUCAACCAUCUUCAAGAAAAAAGACGUAUCAAAAUUCAGGGAAACUGAUAAAACUGACUAAGAUCAAACAUUAAAAGUGGCCAUCAAAUCAAAUAUCAGAAACUUUAGAUAUACUUGGUAAAUUGGGGAGAAAAAGUUUUUGUAAUGAUAGUCAUGCUAUCUUUGAUUCUUCAUUAAUGUAAGAAGAUCUAUGUUAUCUAGAUUCAGGAUAGGAUACAUAUAUGCAUUUGAUAUGGGUGCGUCUAAUUUUUAAAAGUUUAACAUAUAUUUAAAGGGUCUUUUGAAGAUCCACAUUCCUAUACUUAUGAUCAAAUAUGCAUUGAAUUAGUGCACAUAAAAGAAAAUUGAAGUGUCAAAGCAACAUAGAUAAAAGUAUAUCAGCAACAUUUUACAAACCUGUUUUAGUUUCUUCUUGUGUUACGGACUUAGAUUUUUCCCACGUGAUCCGUGCGGCAUUAGGUAGUUUCUUUAUUCAAAAACGCCUAAGUCAGUCUUAACUCGCAACAAAUGAGGAUUUAACAGAAUUUCUCUAAGGCACCAAUGAAGAAUAGUAGAAGAACGAAGUAAGAACAAAUCUUGAAAGAUGAACAAAAGCCACAGAAAAGCAUGAACAGAGAGAAAAGUUUGAGUGAAUGCUCUCAAAAUUUUAUUAACAACUUAAUACUUUACAAUGAGCAGAGAUGUGUCUAUUUAUAGCUAAGCCUCUCUAAAAUCAACAGUAUAAAUCAAAGAACAUCAAUGGCUACAAUUAAAAGCUAUCUAGAUAUCAAAUAUCUAAUAUUACAUAAUCGUAUCUUCUAAAGAUUUACAUUUAAUGUCUAAGAUCACAUAUCUCUGAAGAUAACUUUCCAUAUUUGCCAAGCAUAUCUUUAAAGAUUACUUUCCAUAUUUACCAAGCUCUGUAGAUGGGCUUUUAGUCUCUCCAAACAAUGGACCAGUCCAAUUGGGCCAAAUUACCCCCCUUGAAUGCGAUGGAUCGUAUGAGUUUGUCAUGGUUGCGGGCUCCCAUGCGCAACCCAUGACACUUAUUCCAUCUUUUUUAACUUUUGAAGAUCACGGUAACCCUCCGAAGUCAUUGUCAGCCUUUAUUGCUUCACCACUAUGAAAUUUGCAGCAAAUUUGCUGAAUGAGUGACAUAACAUUAAUAAAUUACUUGACAAUGCCACAUUCAAACACUGUAAAAUCCUAAACUUACGCAUAUCCUUGAAAAUUGUUUCGGGGGCCAUUUUAGAUAAUUUACCCUUUAUUUGGCCUUCUUCACUAAACAAAAAAAAAAGCUUACAUCAAAAUCAAAGUAGAAUAGUCCUUUAUCCAAAUUGCUCAAAAUUCAAAGUGCUAAAAAAAUGGUUUUGAAAAGCAUGCAAUGAGGAAUUAUCAGUUGUACACUCUUAACCUACCUGCAUUAACAAUUCAUUAGUGAUAGUUACUACCUAGUCAAAAUGUUAAAAGGAGAUGCAAAUUAGCCCCUUAUUUUGGAACUCUAUUAUGAGUAAAAGUUUAUCCACUUUUAGCAUCCAACUUUUACUUACACUUGAACCGGAUCCGAAUCCAGUUUAUGUUGUUCCAACUCUCCAUUUUUUUUUGUUCUAAAAAUUCAUAUGUCGAACAUUCUUCUAUCGAAUGUAUAUCCAUAUCUGGCUCACUAAGAGACCAAUCAACAUAGGUUUAAAUUAAUAGGUUUUUUAAUGAAACCCAGCUAAAAUAAAUAUUACCUUGGUUGCACUAAAGUAAUGAACAGAUUCAUCCAUGAUCCAGGAAUCUUCCUAGAACUAAGGGAUCUAAUCUGGCAUGUAUUAUAGCAACUAUUCUACUAUCCUCACACAAAGGCCUAGCAACAAAAAAGGAGAGGACCAUUUUUAUUCAUAGAUUGGGUGAUGACCAGUGGUGCAUAAGUUUUUAGAUGUCACCUUCAAAGCCGAAAACAGCCUGCCCCCACUCAUUUCAUGCCCCUUUUGAAUCUCAAAAUAAAUAACGGUAACAGUCAACAUUUUUUUUAAUUUGAUGAUUAAAUGUUUAUUUUAUCACAAAUUUUAACUUAAAUUAUGAGACUACUGCUUCGAUUCUUUUACACAUCGAUUAUGUUAUAUAUAAGGCAUGGCAUUCGCUGAAAUCGACGUUAAAUUUGGUAGAUUCUAAUUUAAAAAUUAAACCUAAUCAAGAAAUUAAUAGAAUAAUAGGAACGAAAUUUAACAGAAUAAAAAUCUGAUUAAAAAACAAAACUUACCUGGAAACUGAAGGCGAAUAUUCUUUCUGCGGAUCAAAAUGCAAUGGAAAGUGAUAAAAUACUCGCAGGAAAAUUAGAAAGAAAAGGGGGUGAAUUUUUAAUAAUUUUUAGUAAUUUUCUUUUGAAUUUGGGGAGAGAAUUUUGGCUUGGCCUGGCUGGUCCACCAGAAUGAAUUUUUGGAGCCUCUUUUCAUACGAUUGCCCUUUGAUUUCGGGUUUUAUUACACUCAAAAAUUUUAGCCGAGAAAAACGCGAUAAUUUCAUUCUACUCAAAUAUGAUUGGCUGAUAUUCCAACAUGAGGCCACGUGGGUGAUGUCCCGCGCCCCUGUCUUUUGUCUUUUGCGUUUUACGAUUUAAACAUGAACCAUCCCAUUACAUACAUAAUAAUGUAUCUAAAGUUAAAAAAUCGUUAUUAUAAGUAACAAACAGUUAUUGCUCUGUUCCUUAAUUAUUAAGCUAUUUUUGCAAUUCUAAAAGAAAAUUAGAUCCCUGAACAAUUUAAUUAUUGUAUCUUUAAUUCCAAAUAAAAUAAAAUAAAAAUUUAAACAACAUGAAAGUUUUUAAAAAAAUAAUAAUUUGUGUUAUAAAUUUUUUUUUAAAUCAACAGUUUAAAAUUUUUAUAUUUAAUACAGAAGUAAAUAAGUAAAUUUAUAAAUGAAAGUCAUUGAUGCAUGGUAAAUAAGGGAGGAAGAGAUUAAAGUGAUAGUGAAUAUCAGUUUACUUAAAAAGGUCAAGAGCCGAAACAAGGACAAGAUAAUAAGUUGACCAAGACACUUGUGCUAAACAAUAAUAUUGUAAAAGUUGAGGUACUAAUUUUUUUCAAAAAUUAAAUCUUAAAUUUAAGUGUAGCAUAGAAACCAAAAUUAAAAUUUCACCAUUUUCUUUUAUAACGCAUAAAGAAAAAAGAGAAAGGUGGCCCCAUGUUUUAUAUACUUAGGUAUAAGGAACCAAAAUUGAAAAUUUACCAAUUUAUAUUGGUUUAUAGAUAUGCUCAAUCUAUACAAUUUUCUUUCAUGUGUAUGUAUAUAUUAUAUUUUUUAUGUUAUCUUACAAUUCAUGUUCGCGAUUUAUGGUUGUCCUUUUUAAUAAUGUUGUCUUCAAAAUUUAAACUUCACCACUAUACCCAACACUUAUUGGUAAUUUUCUCUUGUAUAUAUUGAAAAGAAAGUGAACAACUUUUUUAAGUUGUAUCAAUUUGUUGUUAGUUUUCACAAUUAUGAAACAAUAACUUUUUAAGCACGUGAUAUUUCUCGUGAGUUGGAUCAAGGAGUGAAUACGAAAAAAAUCAAACUACAUUUUUUCAAUUUAGAGUUAUAUUUCAUAUCCAUGCUUAAAAAUAAGUAUAUAUCAAAUAAAAAGACAUUAAAAGAAAUUAAGAGUCGCAAUUCAAAAGCAAAGGCAUCUCAAAUGGUUAUCACCACCUCCAUCACCAUCAUCUUUACCACUCUUGAAUCUUUUUAUAAACUCUCACCGAUGAUAAUCAUAUGUAUUAGAAGAUAAGUAAUGAAAGGAGGUUUUCAAAUAAGUUUUUGAUGUGUUAUUUGUUUGUAUUAACAAACCUCUCAAUGGGUUGGUAUUAUCUCUUGAUUUAUCCCCUUACUCUGUCGAAAGCCUCAACUAGAGAUGGGGCUCACAAAGCGGGAGUGCCUUACCGAGUCGGACCACGCAUGAUAAACGGCCAUCUAUUAAGGAAAUAAUGGUCAUUUGCGAAUAAUAAAGUUUGAACGCAAACCUUAUAUGGCAUCAAUGGGCAUAUGAGUUAUUACUUGAUGUAGUUCUGUUUAUCAAGAUGCAAAUUGCACAUAGUGAUACUUAUGAUUUGCUAGUUCUCAUGAAGAAGUGUAAAAUAUGUUAGACCUCGCGAGCUAUUCAAUACGUUUUCAUGCAAAUCGCAAGCUUGUAAGUGUUGCAAAGGGCACUGAGCAUUGGAGGCUCGCCUUCUCGUAGUAGUUGACAAAGAAACAAAUUAGGAUCCACCAGAAAAAGCCCGUCAACCUUCUAAGGGCAAUCCUAUAUUGCUACAAGGCCUCAAAAAAUUCGAUGGAAAGGCGGAUCAAACCCAACCUCAAAGACAAACAACGACAACAAAAAUCCUCUCAUUACAUCACAUAUACGGCUUACUCCAUCAAGAAUAGAAUAGUUUGGCAUGUUCAUUCCCCUAAUCUCCAACGUUUUUACCAUCUCCUCGUGCUUUCUUUUAUAUGUCCACUAGUUUCCUCACCUAUGAAUACCAUUUUUUUUACUUGAAGAGGGAUCUCUCUCCUUCUACCUCUCUAUUCUACCUAGAUUUUUCUUUACGCUCUCCCCUCGCCACCGUUUGAACCGUCCCCAAAACUUCUUACCUCGUUUUCUCAUCAACAAUCUUAUAAAUGUUGUUUCUUCUUAUAUUUGGAGUAUAGAACUAAGGCUUCCAAUACUCUAAAAUGAGGAACAAGGCAGACAAAUAGAAUUCAGAAAUUAAAAAGGGAAAAAGGAUGAAAAACUUUUAUAGAGAAGGAAUAGAGUGGGAUAAUGAUGAAAUAUUACAGCUAUGAAAAGGUGAAAACCUUACAUCCAAAAAGCUAUGCAAAGAAGCAGAAAUGUGCAGCAAAAGAUUUAUAUGGUACACACUCUUCCUCCAAUUUGUAUCAAAAUAGCAAGAAUUAUGAUGAAAACCCAAGAUCUAAAUAUGUAUCAUGCAAAUUUACAAGGCCAACCCCUCUUACUUAUGGUGAUUAAUUAGUGCUAAUCUGAGGUUUCACCUGUUGUUGUCACUGCACCUCAUUGUCGCCCUCUGCUGAAAUAACUUGUAACGAAUGGCCAUCAUUUCUCUCAUUAUCCUUGUACUAUGAAGACAUUUCAAGGUUGUUGGUCGUUGUAGAUUGUCCUUUUGGUCUCUAAAUGUUUUGUUUACCUUCAUUAUGGUGAUUAAUUUGUGCUAAUCCGAGGUAUGACCUGAUGUUUGUUGCCGACCUCUGUUGAAGGAACUAUUAGGAGUGGGUCCCACUAUGUGGGAAACCCAUAUUUUCUGCCACAAUUUUUGCCUUCUUUUUGGUUUUGUCAAAAGCCAAUUUUUUGGCCUUUUAACGUGGGAGUGGGCAACAUUCUUAAUUGAGAGCAAAAUUCUCAAUUACAUCCAGAGAGAAAGAGAGUGAAAUUGAAGCUCGUUGGAGAAAAAGAGAGAAUAGAAAAAUCAGUUUUUCAAGCUUGGUGCAGUAGUGAUCAACUCUUCGAUCGAAGGUCCAUCCGUGGUUCGAUUGAGCUGAUUUUUGGACAGCAGCUAGGCGAUAAGGUGUUCUUGACUUUGUACAGUCAGAUUUUUCAUCCGAGUCUUUUAGCGUCGGAAAUACCCAUUUUUCAGCAGCUGCAUUUUUUGGUGAUGUUCUUUCAUUUUUUUCUCUUUUGCUAAAGAUUACAUAUUGUUAGCCUUGUCGGAGUUGAAUGCUUGUUGUAGGCUUGAUAUUGUGAUCUUGUAGCCGAACAUUUGAUGAUAGUGGAGCUCUUUAUCGGACUCUAAAGUCCCGUGGUUUUUACCCUUAAUUUAGAGGGGUUUUCCACGUAAAAUACCGGUGUCUCUAUUUAUUUUUAUUGUGGUUGCAUUAGUUGAUUUGUGGUUGAUUAAGGUUGCUAGAGAACAUAUCUUGUGCUAUUGUGCUUGCCAUAAUUUUUGACAAGAGUUAUAGGGAGAGAGAACACCAGUUGUGCUUUCGCUUUGUUUCGGUUGUUCGGUUUCUUCCCAACAAACUGGUACCAGAGCUUGGUUAUUGUGUCAGAUAAUUAUGGAAAUUAAUACGAGCAAGAUGAUUAUGUUGAAUGGCACAAAUUAUCAACUUUGGCGGAAUAAAAUGAAGGACUUGUUGUUUGUGAAGGCUUUGCAUCUUCCGGUCUUUACUACUCAAAAACCUGAUUCGAAAAGUGAUGAAGAAUGGGAAUUUGAGCAUCAACAAGUGUGUGGCUUUAUUCGGUAAUUUGUUGAAGAAAAUGUUUACAACCACAUUGAUCAGGAGACACAUGCUCGAACAUUGUGGGAGAAGCUUGAAAGCUUGUAUGCUUCGAGGUCGGGCAAUAACAAGUUAUUUUUGCUGAAGAAAAUGAUGGCGCUGAAAUAUAAAGAAGGAAUGUCUAUAGCUGACCAUGUUAGUGAAUUUCAGAGUAUGAUGAAUCAGUUGCUUGGUAUGGGUGUCAAAUUUGAUGACGAGAUUUUAGGACUUUGGUUGCUUGCUACUCUACCAGACUCUUGGGAGACCUUUCGAGUCUCACUCAUUAAUUCUGCCCCACAGGGUAUUAUUACUUUGGAUUUGGCUAAGAGUGGUGUGUUGAAUGAAGAGGUUAGAAGAAGAUCUCAGGGCUCUACAUCACAGUCCGAGGUGUUGGUUAUCGAGAACAGGGGGAGAAACAGAGACAAAGAUGGAAAGGGUAGAGAUAAAAGCCGAAGCAAGUUAAGAUCGAGAUACAAGAAUCUUGAGUGUCAUCAUUGUGGUAAGAAAGGUCAUAUCAAGAAAUAUUGCUUCAAGUGGAAGAAAGAGAACAAAGGUGGUGGUGAUAAACACGAUCAGAAUGACGAUGAAAAAUCCGAGCGUGUUGCUACUGUUACUCGUGAAGAUUUGUUAGUUAUUUGUGAUGAGAAUUUGGUCAACCUAGCAUGCGACGAGACUAGUUGGGUGAUUGAUACUGGUGCAUCACUUCAUGUCACGUCGAGGAAGGAAUUCUUCACAUCUUAUACUCUUGGUGAUUUUGGGGUAUUGAAGAUGGGUAAUGAUGGUUUGGUUUCGGUUAUUGGUAUGGGAGAUGUUAGCUUGGUAAGUAACAAUGGAACAAAGUUAACUCUCAAGGAUGUCAGACAUGCACCAGAUGUUCGUUUGAAUUUGAUUUCUGCAGGAAAGCUUGAUGAUGAGGGAUUCUGUAACACCUUCAGUGAAGGGCAGUGGAAGCUGACUAAAGGCUCAUUGGUUGUGGCUCGAGGAAAGAAGAGAUCAAAUUUGUACUUGAUGCAAGCUUUGACUUCUCGAGAGACGGUGAAUGUGACACUGAAUGACAACUCAACUGAGUUGUGGCAUAAACGACUCAGUCACAUGAGUGAGAAGGGGCUUAGCUGUUUAGCGAAGAAGAAUCAACUUUCGGGUUUAAAGAAUGCUACACUGAAGAAUUGUGCUCAUUGUCUAACAGGAAAGCAGAGAAGAGUUUCAUUUAGAAGUCAUCCUUCUCAUAGGAAAUCAGAGUUGCUAGAGUUGGUCCAUUCAGAUGUUUGUGGUCCGAUAAAAGUAAGAUCACAUGGUGGUGCACUUUACUUUGUGACUUUCAUUGAUGAUUGUUCAAGAAAGCUAUGGGUUUACACUUUGAAGUCCAAAAAUCAAGUCUUUGAGGUGUUUAAACAGUUUCAAGCAUCAGUUGAAAGGGAAACUGGGAAGAAGUUGAAGUGCAUUCGUACUGAUAAUGGUGGCGAGUACACAGGGUCAUUUCAUGAGUAUUGUCUGCGACAGGGAAUCAGACAUCAGAGAACACCACCAAAGACUCCACAGUUAAAUGGGUUUGUAACACCCCUUAACCCCGAACCGUCGCCGGAACAGAAUUACGAGGCAUUACCGGACGUAUCAAACGAUUUACAACAAUUCUUAAAUAAAUAACCAAUAUAUUAAAAUAAUUCAUAAAAUUUAUUAGUUUGUUUACCAAAUGACUUCAUUUUUUUUUAUAAAAAUUUCGGCAGCAUUUCUGCUUAUUUUUACAUAAAACCCCCUGCAAAUUAAAACCAUAUAGUUCCCAAAUAUCACCAAUUCAACCAAUUCAUUUCACAUUCACAUUUUCUAUUCUAAAUACUUCUAAUCAAACUCAAUCUACACAAUAUCAAUUUAAAAUUUAACAAUGUACUAAUUAGAUAAAAUAGAUAGACUUCUUUCAUUAAAAUCCAUAAACUUUUAAUACUAACAUUUUUAACCAUUAUAUAUUAAAACAUAAUAACCUUUAUACACAAUCUAUGUACAUGCCACCUUUACCAAAGGAAAAAUACAUCACCAAGUUUUGUCGAAGCCGGGAUUAAUCUGGAUGCUGAACCGGGACCUUUGACUUCUAUCGACCUGCGCACGGAAACAACCGUACGCUGAGUAAUUCAUACUCAGUGGUAUUACCAUAAUUCAAAUUAUAACAAUAAUGUACAUGUAAUGCAUAAAUCGUAUAUACAAUUUAAAUUCAAUAUUUCAACAAUAGCAAUUCAUCAACCAAUAUCGUAUAUCCACAAUUUGAGUUUGAAUAAAUCACGAACCUUAGGUUCAUUUCUCAAUCUCAUUUCACAUUUCAAUUCACAAUUCAACUUUUUCAUAUCAUUUCAAUAGCUCGUUUGACCAACUCGUUCGGUUUAUCAUUUCAUCAUUUACCCUAUUAACAAAACUCGGACUUUGGCGGAUACACGGAUCCAACCAAACACACCAGAAUGGCACCCAGUGCCUCAUCGGAUAGUUCGAAGCAAUAGUUGACACCCAGUGUCUCAUCGGCAAAGCCGAAGAAAGUUGGUACCCAGUACCUCAUCGAAUCUAUCCGAAGAAAUAUAGUGACACCCAGUGUCUCAUCGACUCGAGGUCGAAGUAUCCCUGAACUCUUCCAAUCCUAUGGCAUGCCAACUAUAUCCGACUCAGCCCGACUAGUUAAUAGGGUAUUUAAAUCACAUAUAUUCUCAAUUCAAUCACAAUUUCUCACACUUUCAAUUCAAUCAUUUUUCCACAUUCAAUCAAUAAUUAUUUCACAAAUUCACACAUUUUCACAACUCAAUACAUUUCCAUACAAUUUAAUACCAUUCACAAUUCGAUUCAAAUUCAUUUCCCGCUUUCAAUCAACAAACAAUUCAAAUAUUAAUUCAUAUAAACUAUUCAAUUUAAUUCCCACUCAUAAUAAUAAUAAUAAUACUAAUAAUAAAUUAAUACUAAUAUUAUACUUACCUCACAUUUCAUUUACUAGACACAUAAAUUAAAAUUUAGCAUUUAAUAAUAAAUAACUUGAAUUAUAGUAAUACAAACCGUUAUUCUCCCGUUUUAGUCCUCAAUAACUUUCUCCUUUCCUUUUGACGCCGAUGCCUCGGGUUCUUUGUUAGCUACGAAAAUAAUAAUUUGUAAUAUUAAUUACAGCACUAAUUAUAAUAAAUAAUUGAAUUUCUAUUCAAUUUCUUCCUAAUUCUCAAUUUAAUCCUAACUAAAUUCACUUACUUUCCUAAUUCAAUUCACGCUCUAUUUCUAUUCAAAUUUCAUCCAAACUAAAAUUUAACUAUCAAAAUUUCAGCAUAUUUUGCUAAUUUCGAAUUUCCCUCAAUUUAGUCCCUAAAACAUAAAACUUAUAGUUUCUUUUACAAUUUAAUCCCUUUUUUCAAUUCUAACUUAAAAUUCCUUCAAGUUAAUCCCUAAUUCAUCUCUUUUGUUCAACAUAAACUAUACUUGAAAACCUAUGAACUUACAAAAUAUCAACUUAAUUCCAUCAAAACUUUGUUUUAAAGCUUUUAAAACAUUAGAAUUAAGAGAAAAGGGCUAAUUUGACUUACCAAUCAAAGUUUUAAACCUUAAACCUUCAAUUUUUCCUUUUUCUUUCUUUUUUCUUCUUUCUCCCCUGUUUCUUCUCUGUUUCGUCUUUGGCUAUUCUGUUUCUUUCUUCUUUUGUUUCUUUUAUUCUUUUAUUUUAACUUACUUUACUUUAUUUCCUUUAUUUUAUUUCUUUUGUUUUCUUUUAUUUAAUUACUUUAAUAUAAUAAUUAAAACAAAUAUCUAUUUAGUAAUUAAAUAUAAGUAUUACAAAUGUAUGUAUUUUAUUAAUACACUUGUAUUAAAUAUCACCAUACAUUUGUCUUUAUUUAAUUUAUUUCUUAAUAUAAUAUUUAUAAUAUAAUUAAUUUAAUAAUAUCAUUUAUAAUUAAUUUAUAUAUUUAUAUAAAUAAAUAAUAUAAAAAUCUAAGAUUUUUACAAUGUUAUGCCGCCUCAACUUCCAAAUGUGGCUUAAUUGCCCAUUUGGUCCCUCUUAUUUUCUUUUGAUCUAUAAUUAAACAUUUACCCUUUAUUCAAUUUAAUCUUUUUUCCUAAUUAUUCUUAAUUAGAUUAAAUUCAUCUAUCUAAAACUUAAUUAAACACACAACUAGUCUCGUAAAUAUUUCUAAUAAUUAUUUUCGAACUCAAUUUACUAAGACGGAGGCCCGAUAUUAUACUUUUUCGAUGCCCGUGAAUUUUGGGUCAUUACAGGGUUAGCUGAAAGAAUGAACCGAACAUUGAUUGAGAGAGUCAGAUGUUUGUUGUCAGAUGCAAAGUUACCAAGAUCGUUUUGGGCUGAAGCUUUGAAUACAGUGACACAUGUGAUAAAUCUGUCUCCUAGUGUUCCUUUGAAAGGUGAUGUGCCAGAUAGAGUUUGGUUUGGUAAAGACGUGUCAUAUGAUCACCUACGUGUGUUCGGGUUUAAAGCAUUUGUUCAUGUUCUAAAGGAUGAAAGAUCCAAGUUGGAUGCCAAGGCUCGACAAUGCAUUUUUAUUGGUUAUGGUCUAGACGGUGAGUUUGGUUAUAGACUCUAUGAUCCAGUUCAGAAGAAACUCGUGAGAAGCAGAGAUGUUGUCUUCAUUGAGGAUCAGACCAUUGAUGACAUUGAUAAGACAGAGAAAGUGGAUUCACAAGGUAGUAGUGACUUGAUUGAUGUGAAUCUGGUUCCCCUAGACUCUUCACCAGAUCCUAUCCAGGAUGAUGUGCAUGGUGAUGUUAGUGGUGUCCGUCAGACUAUAGGUGACUUUGAUACUUCCAUGGAUGAUGUUGUGAAUGAUCAACAACAAGCACCUAUAGCUCCACCAGCAGUUCCACUUCGAAGGUCUUCCAGAGAUCGACGAUCUUCUGUCAGGUAUUCUCCUGAUGAAUAUGUUCUUUUGACUGACGGGGGAGAACCUGAAUGUUAUGAAGAGGCUAUGGAGAGUGAAUGCAAAGAUCUGUGGGUUGAAGCGAUGAAAGACGAACUUCAAUCCUUACAUGAGAACCAUACUUUUGAAUUGGUGAAACUGCCUAAGGGAAAAAGAGCUUUGAAUAAUCGGUGGGUUUACAGGUUGAAGCAAGAAGAGAAGUCUUCAUCUCCACGAUACAAAUCUAGAUUGGUCGUCAAGGGUUAUACUCAGAAAAAAGGGGUUGAUUUUGAAGAAAUAUUUUCUCCGGUUGUGAAGAUGUCCUCUAUCAGAACUAUACUGAGUUUGGUAGCUUGUUAUGACCUAGAGGUUGAACAAAUGGAUGUGAAAACUGCUUUUCUUCAUGGUGACUUGGAAGAAGAGCUUUACAUGGAGCAGCCAGAGGGUUUUGUUGCACAAGGGAAAGAGGACUAUGUGUGCAGAUUGAAGAAGAGCUUGUAUGGUUUGAAGCAAGCUCCAAGGCAAUGGUACAAGAAGUUUGAGUCUGUUAUGGGGGAGCAAGGCUACAAGAAGACUACUUCUGAUCAUUGUGUGUUUGUUAAGAGAUUCUUUGGUGAUGAUUUUAUUAUUCUUUUACUCUAUGUUGAUGAUAUGCUUAUUGUUGGUCAGAAUGCUUCUAGAAUUGAGAAGUUGAAACAAGAGUUGAGUAAAUCCUUUGCAAUUAAGGAUUUGGGGCCAGCAAAGCAAAUUCUUGGCAUAAGACUGACACGUGAUAAAAAGGCCAAGAAAUUAUGGUUAUCACAAGAGAGGUACAUUGAGAAAGUACUUCAAAGGUUUAGUAUGGACAAAGCUAAAGCGGUGAAUACUCCAUUUGCUAUGCACUUUAGAUUGAGUGUUAAGCAUAGUCCUUCCACAGAAAAGGAGAAGGAAGAGAUGCAGAAAAUUCCUUACUCUUCAGUCGUGGGUAGUUUGAUGUACGCAAUGGUUUGCACGAGACCAGACUUGGCUUAUGCUGUUGGUACAGUUAGUCGGUUUCUUUCUAAUCCAGGCAGAGAGCAUUGGAAUGCAGUGAAGUGGAUUAUGAGAUAUCUUCGUGGCACUUCCAACAUGAAACUUUGUUUCGGCAAUGAAAAACCUGUUCUUGUUGGGUAUACAGAUUCAGACAUGGCCGGAGACAUUGACUCGAGGAGAUCUACUUCAGGUUACUUAAUCACUUAUGCAGGGGGAGCAGUGGCAUGGCAAUCGAGACUGCAAAAGUGUGUUGCAUUGUCCACCACCGAAUCAGAGUUCAUUGCAGCAACCGAAGCGUGUAAGGAGAUGCUUUGGAUGAAGAAGUUUGUGCUUAAGCUUGGUUUUACUCAGGAGAAGUAUGUCCUAUACUGUGAUAGCCAGAGUGCUAUUUAUCUUGGUAAGAACUCAACUUUUCAUGCUAGAUCUAAGCAUAUUGAUGUGAGGUACCAUUGGAUACGAGAUGUUCUUGAAGCUAAGCUGUUAGAGCUUGAGAAGAUACACACUAAUGAUAAUGGUGCUGAUAUGUUGACGAAGGCCUUACCAAGAGAAAAGUUUGAAGCAUGUUGUUUGACCUCCGGUAUGGAGGCAUUCCCCACAUAGUUGGAGGGGAAGAUUUGUUAGGAGUGGGUCCCACUAUGUGGGAAACCCAUAUUUUCUGCCACAAUGUUUUGCCUUCUUUUUGGUUUUGUCAAAAGCCAAUUUUUUGGCCUUUUAACGUGGGAGUGGGCAGCAUUCUUAAUUGAGAGCAAAAUUGUCAAUUACAUCCAGAGAGAAAGAGAGUGAAAUUGAAGCUCGUUGGAGAAAAAGAGAGAAUAGAAAAAUCAGUUUUUCAAGUUUGGUGCAGCAGUGAUCAACUCUUCGAUCGAAGGUCCAUCCGUGGUUCGAUUGAGCUGAUUUUUGGACAGCAGCUAGGCGAUAAGGUGUUCUUGAAUUUGUACAGUCGGAUUUUUCAUCCGAGUCUUUUAGCGUCAGAAAUACCCAUUUUUCAACAGCUGCGUUUUUUGGUGAUGUUCUCUCAUUUUUCUCUCUUUUGCUAAAGAUUACAUAUUGUUAGCCUUGUCGGAGUUGAAUGCUUGUUGUAGGCUUGAUAUUGUGAUCUUGUAGCCGAACAUUUGAUGAUAGUGGAGCUCUUUAUCGGACUCUAAAGUCCCGUGGUUUUUACCCUUAAUUUAGAGGGGUUUUCCACGUAAAAUACCAGUGUCUCUAUUUAUUUUUAUUGUGGUUGCAUUAGUUGAUUUGUGGUUGAUUAAGGUUGCUAGAGAACAUAUCUUGUGCUAUUGUGCUUGCCAUAAUUUUUGACAGGAGUUAUAGGGAGAGAAAGAACACCGGUUGUGCUUUCGCUUUGUUUCGGUUGUUCGGUUUCUUCCCAACAGGAACCUGUACUGAAUGAUGAUCGAUUUUCUCGGAUUACCCCUGUAUUGUGAACACGGUUCAAGGUUGAUGAUCGAGUAGAUUGUCCAUUUAUUGCCCCUGCAAUCAUUGAAUAUAUGGUUCAAUAUCCUUCACACCUUAAAUAUAACCCUAAACUAUAUAUACAUAUUGGAAAUGAAAGUGGAAACUAUCAAUAUAACCUGAAUUUUUCUUGGCCUUCACGUUAAUGUUUUUCUUUGUCAUUACAACUCUCUUCUCUGGAGUCUUUGUGGAAACCAAUCUCUUUGGGGGCGAGCGAAACCGUAUUGUUCUCCUUUCCGGAACCUCACUGUAAACUGAUCUUACAUCCGAAUAAACUGACUUGGUAUCUGAACCACGAGAUUUCACAUCAGAACCAACAGACUUUGUGUCACUAGUUGCUGUCAAUGGAUCCUCUAUUAUAGAAACAAUAUCAUCUCUGCAAGUCGAGGCCCCUUCGAUGGUUAACUCGCCAUUCUUAUCCUUCGUGUUCAUAAUAUUUUGAUCUUUCUCGACAAGCCGAUAAGCAAACAUUUGAAAACGGAUUUGUGCAACUGAAAGUGGAUUGAAAGUCUCAUUUACAGUGAACUUUCUUGAAAACCAUGUCUAUAUCUCACAAUAAUCUUCAAUAGGACAUUGCACUUCAGGCUGAUCAUAGUCAUGGUCGGGGUUCAUCACGAGGAACUUCUUGAUGUAGCGCAAAAUCCGACAAAUUGAUGAGAAACUCGGGCGCUGAUUCGAAUCGUUAUGCCAACACUUUUUCGUUAAAUUGACAAGAUAUUUUGGGACUGUGUAGGGAAAAAGAGGCCUCUCCCCUGCCAAGAUAUUUCUACUCAUAUUCUCUACAUGUCCUUCAAACGGUUGUUUCCCAGCCAAUAACUCAAAGCAAAGCAUCCCAAAGCUGUACACAUCUGCCUUCUCUGAGUACUUCAAAAUGGAAGAUUCAUUGGAUGACUGCUCUUGCUCUAUCAUAACUUCUGGAGCAUACCAAAUGAAAGGUUUUGGCUCGCACAACCUCGGUGACGAGUUCGGGGAGGAACGAGGCUUUACAUCAGAUAAACCGUAACCGAGAUCUUCAAAUGGAAACAACCUUCAACAUUGUUCCUAGCUUUUAGAAAGAUGUUACUAGCGUUCAACUCUCCAUGAUAAAUCUUCUUUGAAUGCAGAUAUUCCAUUCCUCUUGCAAUUUGAAGCAUAAGAUCAACCACAACAUGAAGAGGGAACAAGAUCCGCCUUCUCGAGCCGUAAUUCUCCUUCAUGUAACUACCGAGAUCCUUGUUCAUUAACUCGAGAACAAGCAACACUUCUUUCUUUUCUUCAUCGUAAAACCCACAAAGGUAUUGCAGUAUGUUUGGAUGAGUGAGUGAAAGUAAUUUAGAGAUUUCAGAAUAUAAUGGUUCAACAUCCCCAAAGAAGUUUCUUAACACAAAGUUAUCUCCCAACCAUUGUAUUUCCUUAUAUUGUCCCCAUAAUCGUCGCCUUACUUGGUAAUCCCCGCAAUACAAGAUUGAACUAGGGAAAAGUUCACCGUUAGAAGCCUCUGAUCCAAUAAUUUUACGAAUCAACAAGCUAGCUAGCCGUUGUUGGUUCUUCGUUACCGAUUCCGAAGACUUCUUCUCCCUCAGAGCUUCAACAAGGUUCCAUCGAUCUUCCCUCCACGCACUUUCGAACCGGCUACAAAUCUCUCGAGGGAUUAAGUACUGAUUUCCGAAUCGAAACUGGAAGAGCUUCGGAUCGUUCCACUCGGCGUCGUACUUCCUCGUGAGAGUGACUCUCCUCCUUUGAAUCUCAUACUGGUCGAGCCCUGCGAUCUCUCCGGCCAUCUCAAUGGCCUCAAUGAAGGCCGGAAAGUGGCAAAGCAAAUUGUGAAUGUGAAGCUCAACAGAGUCCUUGUUUUGAUGGAGGUUUAUUGCCUUAACCCACCAGUCCUUCUUGUCCAUACAUUGUUUUACAUAUAAUUCACCUUCUUUAAAGAUCUUUUGAAGCUCUCGCAAAGGGUUAUCAAUGGGACUCCAUUUUAUGUUCUUUUCUUCGAUUUUCAGGUUCAACCUUAUUUCUUCGGCUAUUACAUUGAAAGCCAAACAAAAUAUAUCAAACAACAAGCAACAUUGUCGUCGAUUGACUUGAAACUCGCCUUGUAAAACCAUAAGAGUUCUUAGACUUCCCAAAACCUCACCAAUUUGUCUGAAUUCCUCCAUUGUUAUAAAAAAAAGUUUGAAACACACAAAUGAAGACAACCCCAAGAAAUGUCACAAAUGGUGCUGCCAACUUCUGGAGAUUAAAUACCAGAAUCAAACAGCCCCAAAUCUCUUCUUAUCUACAAACAUCAUUUUAUAAAACAAAAUAGUUAGAUUCUUGUCAUUAAGAAACAUUAAUGAAACACAUAAUUGGUUUGAAAAUGAGAAGAGAAGAAUAAAUGUUAUAACUUUAUAAAAAAUACAAACUUGUAAUUGACAAAUUUCUAUUUCCAACACCAAUCCAAUUCAGACAAUGGAUCCUUUGGGAUCCUUACAAGUUGGAUUUUAUUUAUGAAAAAACUUCAUCUUUAUCCCCUAGAAAAGAAUGCAAACAAAACAAUUAAUAAUGAAAACCAAAACAGACAAAAAGAAAAUAGAAAACGAAAAUGAUAAGAGAGUUGACCGUUUCAACCAUCCAUCUGUUAAACAGCACCUAACUGAAACGAAGAACCUUGAAUCCAGAUUUUUUUGUUUUCGUAAGCUUAAUUUCAUUUUUUUGGAACUUUAGAAAAAUAAAAUCUUCAGGUAAAAACUAAAAACAGAAACCAUCAAAGCAAAACGAACCAAAAAAAAAAACAAUAACUGAAGAUCAAAAGAGAACACAACAAAAAAACUUAUCAACUUUGAAGUUAUUCAGGAUUAACUAAGCAGGUUCAAGGUUUGGUUUUCUCUUUCUUUUUCUCAAAAAACUUUAAACAAGUCCCCGAUUUCUUUGCUGUCUUUGUAUAAAUGUGUUCCCGCGAUUUUCGUCCUUUUUUUAAUAUAUAAAAUUGUUAUUGUUUCAACGCUCUGACCGCUGCAUUGUCGCAAAAAUGUCUUUGAAAUGGCGUCGUUUAGUUCGUAUUCAGAUUCACACCAUCUGGUUGUUGCUUCUUAAAUUUAGUAAUGCAUUAUUAGUGUAUUCUUUUUCUCAUAUAUUUACGUAAUAAAAAAAUUACGUCAGAAAAUAUAAUUCGAGCUAAAGGUGCUCAUGGGUCGGGCCGAGUCUAAGCAUGAUAUUAACAUAUUUUAUACUUGUCCAAGUUUAGCCCGAUCUAAAAUUUAGGCCUAAAAUUUUACCCAAUUUUACCUAUAUUUGCAAAAGAUUAACUCAAACUCAUUUUAGGUUCGCUCAUAUUAUUUUUAUCUUAUUUUAAUAUUUAAUAAUUUUAUACAUUUUUUAUUUAUUAAAUUUUUUUAUAGUCAUCUUAACAUUAUUUUAAUGUUUACAUUAGAGUAGCAUUAUAUAAUUAAUAUAGAUUUGUUUUUUUAUGUAUUCUAAAUUACAUAAUAUAUAAAAAUAACAUAAUAUAAAGAAUUAUAAACUUUAAAUGGGUCAAGCCAAUUUGGGCUUAAGCCUUGAAUAUUCAAGCCUGAGCUCAAGUCGUAUUUUAAAAUGGGCCUAAUUUUUUUUCAAACUCUCCCAAAUUUUAGGCGGAUAACCCGGCCCAUAAACAAGUCUAAUCCGAACUUAAGUUUUAACAAUCAAAAUUCGAGCCCAACUCACCCCAUCUUACUUUUUAGUUUAUAACAUGUAUAUUUUUAUGUGUGUGCAAUUUAUAAUAUAUACUUAAAUAUAUGAUACUAUAAUAUAAAUAAUAAAAAAAUUGAAUUUUAAGAUUCCAAAUACGAGUUUAUUUGAAAUAAAAGCAUGUGUUCUUCUCAAAAUUUAUUUUUAUUAAUUUGAAAGAGUGAUUUGUGAAAUUAAUUAUUCAAUUAAUUUUGAUUUUAUUGAAAAUGUUAUAACAUCAAAAAGAGAAGAAAUAAUCAUAGUAAACAAAUAAUAAUUGAAUCAUGUCAUGGAUAUCAAUCACAAUAAGGAAUUAUAUGAUUUAACAUUUUUUAGAUAUAACGAUUCUUUUAAAAUUCGUGACUAUAUUUAUUAAUUUUAGGUGCAACAUUUGCUGGUGAUUAUAUUUAUAAUGAUAACAUAAAAAACAACACGGUUGGAUAAUCGCAAAUGAAAAUGCUUGCCCUCCCAAACAUGCCGUAACUUGGGUUCUACCACACAAAUUAUCGCCUAUUUUUUCCUUUACGAAGUUAUCAUUUCCAUCGGUUUUGUCUCCCCACCUCUACUGCUCCACAUCAAACAAUGUCCGAUAACUUCUCGCCCUUUCGUCGUCCACAUCAUUAGCUCUGUCGUUUCGUGGUUUCAAGCAAAUUUUGCUUCUUUCUCCCCUGCAACAGUUUUUUUGUUCAAUGUUCUUUCUCUCUCUGCGACUGAGAGAUUAUAUUAAGCCAUUGUGGGAGUGCCUUUGAGGAAAAGCUAAAAUGGCAGUGCCCGAGGGUUCUUUCGCGACUGCUUUCGUAGCUCUUGUUUUCACUAUGAUUGCGUUACCGGCUGCUGUUGAGGCCCAGCCCUUCCCCGCCGCUACCCUCACAAGUGACGGCUUGCUCUUUCUCGCACUCUCUCUCGCUAUUAGUCUCUCUUUCUUUCUACAUGUUUAAGAUGAAAACGCCAUUUGAUUUCAUUUGUUAAUAUUUGAGCUUUUGAUGAGGGUGGCAAAAGCCGAACAUGAGCGUCGGUUGACCAAUGGUUUGCAUACGCAUAUAUGCCGCCGGGGCCGGUGUUGACCUACAUUGUUCACCAUCUGCUGAUUUCUGCUUCAGCUUUCGCGAUUUUUUUUCCUCUUUUUCCUUAAAAGGUUUGUCAAAGUAAGAAGAAUUAUUGUUCAACCAUGGCUCGUUUCAUUGAGCUUUGAAUGGAUGUAGUUAGAGUUAGACGAAUUAAUGUGAGUUUUGCUCUUUUUGUAGAUUUUGAUCAUGUAUGUUUCGUGGUCUCUUUGUUUCUUUCUUUUUGUCUAUAAAGCAUUAAAUCUUCCAUUUCUGCCUCAGUUUCCAUCAUGUCUUUGGUGGGGGUUUUCUCGUUUGUCUCACCGAACUUGAGUGACGGUUAACGCGGUGAGUAUGAGGAGAGUCGUAGAAGAGAGUUUAUAUAUGUGUUUGGUUAGGGUAGAAAUGUAUAAGGAGAAGAAUCCCUUCUCUCCAAGCUUAGAUUUUGGUAUGUAUGUGGCGCAGGUCUCGUCAUGGUAGCCAAUCAAGAGGCAUAAUAGUAGUCUAGGUAGGAUAUGAUGGGACAAAAGCAGAUUAGAUAAGGGAGAACUGAAUAGCUACUCUUGACGAAGUAAAUUGAAAGAGCUCCAUGUGUCGUGCAUACGUGUUUUAAUGAAGCCAAGUUCUGGUGAGGUGCUGUUCUGGAUGAGGUUACGACAUAAUAAAGUAACGGUAGUAAAACCUGGACACGCGAGGUACCUAUAACAAAUUAUAAAUAAUUUGAUUAAAUCUACCAAUUACAUGUUAAUUUUGGAAAGCUUGAUAAAAGAAUAAUCUUAAGCUUGAUUAAAUCUAUAUUUGCAAACUAGGGGCAAAACUGUUGUGAGGGCCGGACUCCUUAAAAUAAUUUUUUAUUUAAAUUCUUUUAAAAAUUUAAAUUAAUAAAAGGAAAAUUAUAUUCUAAUUCCCUUAAAAAUAUAAUAAUUUAAUUUAAUUUUUAAAAAAUUAUAAAUAUAUAAAUUAUUAAAAUCAUAAAAUUAUAUUUUUCACUAUCAUAAAAAUUUAUUAUUCUACUUCUUAAAAAAAUUUUAAUUUCCCCCAAUUGCGACAAACUUGUUCCGUCAAAACCAUAAUAAUUUACAUUCUUUGUUUCUGGUAUGCAAACUUGCAAAGCCACCUCCGCAUAUCUAAUUUUGUCCUAUUUUCCUUUUGGAUUGCUAUCUCAAUCAACAAAUAAAAAAAAUUUAAAAUAUAAAUUAAAUAUAAUUUUUUAUAUUGAACAUAGAAUUAGUUAAUAAAAAUAUAUCUGUAGUAUAAAAUGUUAAAUAUUUAAAUGGUGUCGCCUAUAAAAAUAGUUUUAAUAAAUAUAUAUUUAAUAUAAAAUCAUAUACAGUAGCAUAUAAAUAUUUUUAAACUUGAUAAAUUUAUAUUUUAAGUAUAAAACUUAUAACUUUAAGAGUAACCUAUCAAAAUAGUUAUUUUUGUUUGUCUUUACAUUUUAGUCAUUUAUGUUUGAAAUGUUACAUUUUAGUCACUUACAUUAUUAUAUUGUAACAUUUUAGUCACUGAGCGUUAAUUGUUGUUAACGGUGUAACGGUAAGCUAACGUGGCACGAUAAAUCAUCAUUUCAAAUAAAAAUUUUAGAUUAAAUUAUACAAUUGGUCCCUAUAUUAUUUUCAUUUUGAGUAAUUUAAUUGUUUUCUUUUAUAUUCUUUUAACUUUCCCCCUUUUUUUCAUUCUCUUCUUUUUCUUUUGUUUUCCUCCUUUCUUCAUUUCUUUUAAUGUAGUUUUUUCAUGUUUUCCAUUUGUUAAAACUUUUUUAUGCGGACCAAAACAAAAAAAAUAAGGAUCAAUUGUAUAAUUUAGCCACAUCAGCUUACCAUUACACCAUUAAUGACAAUUAACGGGUCAGUGACUAAAAUAUAACAACAUGUUAAUGUAAGUGGCUAAAACAUAACCUGGAGUAAACAAAAGUGAUUGUUUUAAUAGUUUACCCAUGAUCUAAUUAUGUUUAUUAUGAAUACCUUGUCAAGCCUCGUUAAUCUUUGUUAAGGAAAUGUGUUAGGUUAUUAUUUGUAUGGAUCACAUGUUUGACAUAUUAACUUCAUGUUAAUCGCAACUCCGUCUAUUCAAAGGAUUAUCAUACUCAUUGAGCAACCAACAUAACAAGAUUGAUGUAAGUCGAAGCCCAAAAAAUAUCACCUCACCUAUAAAUACAUGUCUCUGGUUUAUGAAUUUUUUUAUUCAUCUUUCUCUUCCUUUUUUCACGACUCUUAAUGUUUUGCUACCAUAUAAACCACUAUCACACAUCUCUUCCAUUUUUUUUUUUUGAAAAACAAAAAUAGAUAUUAUAUUAACUUAAUUGCCUAAAAGUAUCACUCGCUUUAUCUUAUUGUAAGAUCUCAAUCGAGAUCACAUCAAAGACUUGUAAGCUUGACUUUCAUGUUAGGUUAAGUUUAACUAACCGGUCCUCAACAAUUUUGUGUUCUCUAGGCACAUAUUUAAUUUGUCAUUGGCCUUCAAUUUUCAUAAUUCGACAAAGCCUUUUAAGUAAGGUAAUAAUUGAAUCUUCCAAAUCAAUAUCGGUUAAAGCCUGGACCACAUCGUCUGAAUUCUUGUCUGUCUAAAUACUAUAUAGAGCAGAAGAAUGAAAGGUGAUUAUUGGGGAUUAAUAAAUUCCAAGUCUCAAUCAAAUUGGAUGAUAUUGUGUGGUGUACAGAGUGAUUGAAACUUCAAAACCUGAAACCUAAGUCUAGAUUCAACUUACAAUAUUUUAAAAAAAAAAAAAAGAUAAUUGAAAAUUCAACGCUGGGGGACUAAAGGAGGGCCAUUAAUAUAAAUAUCAAGUUACUAAAAAGGAUUGAUGAGUGUUGGUCAAGGUAUGUCUAGUUCUUCUCAAAAACAGUUCAAUAAUUAAAAUAAUAUUACUUUUUUAAUAAAAAAAUAAUUGUUGAUUCGAAUUAAUUAAAGGAAAAAUAUCAAAAAUUCAUCUUCAAUAUAUACGAUUACAUGUAUUUAAUGAUACUUAUAUAAUUUGUUUUUUUUGUUAAAUCAUCUGAUAACUUCCUUUUUUUUAAAAUUACCCAAUAUAUUUUUUUAAAAGAAAAAGACCUACUCAUUAUAAAAAGUAAAAACCCUAUAUUAACAUAAUUUUUUAUUCUGUAAAUUGUUCUAAAAAAUAUUUUUUUUUAAAAUUCACCCAUUUUCAAGUAUUUGUAAUUAGUUCAAUAUUACUGUAUAAAUUUAUACAAUAACAACAAAUUAAAUUUUUACCAAAUUAACUAUAAAAAUAUUAAUUAAAGUUAAAAGAUUUUUAUAUAGUUUUUAAAAGUAUAAAAUUAGAUGUCAUUUCAUUAUAUUAACAAUUGUAAAAUAGUUUUGGAAACCGAAAUGUUGUUUGUUUAGUACUAGAACACGUGCCUUUACAUAAAAGGAACAUAGAAGACAAAGCAUACAACACGUAGCCAAACACGCCCGUCAUCGUUCCAUUGACGGGAGAAGUUUAACAUUCAAACUCUUACUAAUUAAUAAUAAUUAAUAUCAAAUAAUAAUCUUAUAGCAUUAUAGCAACAAUAAAAAAAAGAAAUCUUAAACAGAGGGAAAAGCAGAUAUUUUCAGUUCCCGCCGAUGCAAAACUUGCCGCAGAAAAACGAAGAAACGGUCAAAUUGCGACGAGAGGAUCCGACCCGAACAAAUCCCCGAUAUCUUGGAAAUGAUCAUCGACACGUUGCCACCUCGAGAAGCCACCUAAUCCGAACUCGAAAUCACCCCCUGAACUCAAAAACCCGUUACUGAAAUCAUCUUUCAGGAAACAAUCGUGAAAACUCGUAUUAUCAUCGAACAAUUCCGGCACUGAGCUAAAUAUAUCACUCGGAAACAAGGAUGAUUGAUCGGAAAAUUCUGAGAAUUUUUCACCCGAUGUGAAGCAAGAGUCGUCAACAACAGCUCCAGGUUCGCUCCUCAACUCUCGGGAUUCCUUGACGCUUUGUGAGUCGCCUUCGUCGGCGGAAAGCGACAGGCAACGGAGAACGGAAGUCGGAGAGCAAAGGUUUGUGUUGUGAGAUUCUUCGCCGGAGUGGUAAUCAGAGCUGGAUAACGGUUUUUGGCUGUUUUUGUUUUGAAGCUUGGGAUUUGAAAAGUUAGUGAGCGCGUCUGGUCCACGCAGUUUAAUAGCUGCGUUGUCGUACACCAUUGCUGCUUCUUCGGCGGUAUCAUAGGUACCUAACCAUAACCGUACACGUCUUAGCGGGUCCCUGAUCUCAGCCGCCCAUUUGCCCCAAGGCCGUUGCCUAACUCCUCUGAACUUCUUAUCAGCCGGUGCUUUCAUCGUCGCUUUAACUUUCAUCGCCGGCCUCUUUCGUGAACUCUUUGACAACGACGUUUUACUCCUGGAAACUCUGCCGUUUUGGGCUGGACAUAAUGUUGACUCGAUAGUUAUCUCGUUAACGUAUUUCUUCACUCUGUUUCGACAACGAAGUUGGCUUGCAUGUUCUUCGUAGUCGCCGUCUUCAUCACCGGAUGAAUCAGUGGCGUCAGCAUCUGUAACUAAAAUCCGAACAAUUCGACGCUUCAUUUCUGGCUGCUUUACGAGACUGACAUCUAAGAGUGGUGAAAGGAGCUUGGUUUGAUAACGGUGCUCAGUGUAUUUGAUGGAAUGAACAGGGGAAUGAUCCAUUUUUCUCUUGGGUUUCGGAUUCUCUGGGUUUUUCAGAUUCUUUCAAAUCUUCUCAUUAAGAUCGAGAGUGAAGUAAGGAGUGAAUUAAGAAAGAAGAGGCAAAGAAGAGAUUCCUUUUGAGACCGGACACGAGGAGAAUAAAGGUUUGGAAAAAGAAAGAACACGUUAAAAGAUAAACUUGAAAAAUGAAAAGAAAUCCACCAGUAAUCCCUUAAAAAGGGUCACUCAAAAGUCUAUCGAAGUAGGAGAAAUUUCAAGGAAAGUCAUCCCAAACAAGCAGUACCCAAAGCAGCCAAAUAGUUGAAAAAGAGUUGACCCCAGUAAAGAAAAGGGAGAUACCCAAAAAAAUAAUAAUAGCCUUGCCAGAAGAUGAAUAGAGAGAAUAAAUAUCGCAAAAAACCACCAGAACACUUUCUUCACUCAGUUAAUGGAGCACGUAUUUGUUAUUUUGGGUAACUUUCGAAUCCAGGUCUAAUAAGAAACUCAGAAUCCAAGUUCCUUUCUGAUGAUACUUUUUCCACACACACACACACAAAAAAAACCUAAAGGAAAAAGUUGCUCCUAUAUAUCAAAGACUCCAAAGAGAAAUGAUGAGAGAAUAAAGAAGAGUUCUUUUUGAGAUAAGGAAUGAAAUAGGAAUUUUGUUUGAAGUGUAAAUGGAAAGUUUAGCUAUUUUAUAGGGAUUUUUACUAAAAUAUUACAAAAAAAAAACUAAAAUAAUAUAUAUAUUUUUAUUUAUUAAAAUAAUACAAAAAAAAGGUUAAAAAAAAUAUGUCUGAAGGAGGAGCUGCCACAUGCCAUUUGUUCGUAUUUUUUUCAGAUUUUAUUAUUUUUAAAAAAUAUAAUAUUUUCUAAUUUUAUUAUUUUACAUUAUUUUAGUACAUUAUGUUUUAAAUGCAUUCAUUUAGUGUGUUUUUUUAAAUAAAUUUAAAAAAAUCUUAUUUCGGCCCUUUGUUCGUAUUUUUUUACCGGAUUUUAUUACUUUCAAUAAAAAACACACUAAAUGAAUACAUUUCAAACAUAAUGUACUAAAAUAAUGUUAAAUUAUAAAACUAAAAAAUAGUAUUUUUUUAAGUAAUAAAAUCUGAAAAAAAAAUACGAACAAAUGGCUGAAAUACGAAAGCCCGUUAUUGGUUCUCCCGGUUGAACUAAGUGCCAAAUAUAUAUAUAUUUUUUUCAGAUAUAAAAAGAAAUUAAAAGCAAAAAUUAAGCAUUCACCGGAGACCAAGAGUCUGGCCAAAAAAAAAAAAAAAGGACAGCGAGAGGGUGAGUUAUAUCGGGGAAUUCAACGUUCCGGCCACAGGGUAUUUAACGAGGCGCCGCAUAAGAUGGGGAAAUUGAGACAUCGACACGUGGAAAUGUGGUCCCGAGAAAACAGAAUGAAGCAAGGGGAAAGGGUGAAUGAAACGGGUCAAUGGCGAAUCGGUUCGGGUCGGGCAGAACUUUCAUCUCGAAAACAGGCAUUGACGUCACGUGACACUGGGCAUUCAGGUCAGUCCUCUAUCUUUGACUAAUGGAAUAUUAACACCACCACUAGCUACUGAUUAUUAAAUUACCUCCUACAUUCCAAAUGUAACUAUCAACUGCAGACUCCACCAAUUCUCCCUAAAGUUUAUUUAAAAUUAUAUUUUCAUCCCUCAAUUUUAAAAAAUACGUAAUAAUAAUUAAUAUUAUUUAUAUUGUUAAAUUUUUAUCACUCGAUUGUUAAGUUCCGUUAAAAAAAUAAGGUUAUAUACCUUAAUUUAAAAGGUUAAUAGUUAAUUUGGUCCUUGAACCAUAGUUAAAACUUUGUUUUAAUAUUUUAAAUUUUUUCUUAAUAAUAAUUAUAAAUGAAAUUUAAAAUAUAUUAAAAAUUCAUAUAAAAUCAAUUUCAACAAGGAAAAAUCAAUAAUUUUGUAACCAAUUUUUCCAUAUCAAAUCUCAUAAAAAACCAAUUUUGUAACCCAUUUACUUUUAUGUUUUACACUCUCUUCAUUUUCAUCUUUUUUGCCUUUUUUUUAUUUCUCUUUUUCUUUCAUAUCAAUGUUUAAAAAUAAAAUAUGCAUGUUUAAUUGCGGUUAAAUUUUGUUAUUAGUCCCUAUACUUAAAAAAAGUUAUGGGUUUAGUCCCUAUACUUUCAUUUGAUCAGUUUUAAUCCUUGUACUUUUCGAAUAGGUAAAUUUUAGUCCAUAAACUUUUCAAAAUUUGAAAUUCUGAUCUUGGCCCAACCAGUAGCAAUUAAACUCGUUUGGUUAAAUUCAAUUACUAGUCUUGCACUAUGCGCUCAGUUGUAGAUUUAAUCCAUUUUCUCCAAUUGAAUCAUUCUAAUUCCUAUGCUUUUUGAAUUUUGAAAUUCUAGUCUUAACACAAAUGACAGUCGGUAAUUAAUUGAUUCUUAGUAAGUAAUAUAUGAAAAUAAUAAGCUAGCAUCACAUUGCACAUAUGAUAGUAUAUUUGGCGCAUCAAAUUUUGGACAUACCUAAACUUCACUUAAUGAAAUUAAUAAUUAUUAUUUGGUGAGCACUGAUAUUUAAAAUUUUUGAAAAUUACAAUGACUAAAAAUGACCAAAUAAAUUUCACCCAAAAAAAUGACCAAAUAAAAGUACAAGGAUUAUAUCCACAACUUUUGCUUAGUACCGAGACUAAUUGCAGAAUUUAUCAUUUUUAUUUAUAGCUAAAGGUAAAACAUUGACUUGAAUUUUGAGGAAGAAAUGGUGGGUUUAGUGAAAAAUAAAAAGAGCACUUUGUAUUAUAAAUUUAAAAAAUUUAAAAUUUAAAAAAUGAAGGAUACCCAAAAGCUCAAUCAAUCUAGUAAUUGAGUUACACAAAAAAAAAUAACGAGUUUAGAAAAGAAAUAAGGUACUUUGUAUUAUAAAUUAAAUGAAAAUAAAUCUCAAAAUUCAAAAAAUUGAAACUUACCAAACAACCUAAACAAUAUAAUAGAACAUAUUGAUGUUCUCUCUUGCCUCUUAUUUCUUAAUUUUGUUCUCAUUUUUUCAUAAUUAUUAUGAAAAUAUUGCAUAUAGGUUAUUGAUAGUAGAAGUUCUUAUGAUUCUCAAUAAUGAAAGCACUGCCGCAAUUCUAGAUUUUGCUUCUUGAAAACUCGAGUAACAACAAUCAAUCUAAUAGUGGAAUCAUAAUCUUGCUUUGAGAUGUAUUUUUCUAGGGCUUUGUGAAAAAUUAAAACAAAAUAAAAUUUUCAAGACAAUUUCUAGGUAAAACAACACGAAGUCGUUGAUGUGAUUUAAGGUGUUCAUCAACGUUGGAAAACAAAUGGAAUUUAAUUUUAAAUUUUUUUGUGAAAGUACAAAGACUGUGGCUUUUGACGAGAUUGGUUAAGAAAACUUAGUUGCAAAUUUUUUUAUUUUUCUUUGCUACAAUUGAUUUUUAUAGAAUUUUUGUAUUUAUUUUAAGGUUUUCUAUUUUUUGUAAUUAUUGUUAAGAAAAAAUUUAAAAUAUCAAAAUGAAUUUUUAGCUAUAACUCAGGGACGAAAUUAUCUAUGAAUCCUUUGAAAUUAAGGUGAGACAUUAAUAAUAUUAGUCACAUUACGUAAUUUUUGAAAGUUGGAUAACCAAUAUAUAAAUAUAAACAAAAUUUAAGGAUAAUUGAUGUAGUUUGCCCUUUUUUUAAUAUUCAAACAUUGAUAAAAAAAAUCCACUUGAUGCUUAAUUUGACCUCUAAACUUCUUUUUUUCAUUUAAGUACCUAAUUUCUUUGUUUUGAUAUCUAAACUAUUUUUCAUUACCCAAAUUAGUACACCUGUUAAAAAAAGAAGAAAAAAAAAAGACUGAAACAUGGGGCUAUUAGAUUGCGCCACCUUAGUCUUAUUUUACUUUUUAAUAUUAUAUAUUAUAUUAAUUAAAAAAGAUAAAAAAUACAUAAUAUAUAAAUAAUUUUAAAAAGUAUUUAAAAAUAAAAUUUUAUAAAAAUCGAAAAUAAAUAUAAAUUUAAAAAAGUGAUAAUAAUAUAUAAAAAUUGAAAAUUUUAUAAAAAUAAAAAAUAGUAUUUAAAUUUUAGAAACUUAAAAAAACUUAAAACUUUCAAAAAAUAUAUUUAGGAAAGUUUAAUAAAUUUUAAUUUUUCCCAAAAUUCUAAAAAUUCAAAACAACGAAUAAAAAUUCAAAAAAUAAAUAAAGUUUAACUUUAAAAAAUGUACUGAUUGAAUCCUUUAAAUACAUAAUUCUAAAUUUUGAAAUACUUUUAAAAAAAAUCCCCAACUGGUUGCAGGCGGGUGAAUCUUAAAUUGAUCAAGAAAUCCACUUAUAGACCAAUCCAUUUAAAUAAAUAAUAAAACAAUAAAUUUUAAAAUAUGAAAAUACAAUAAUAAAUAACAUGAUAAAACAAUUCAUACAGAUACAAAAAUGUUAAAUAUGUACUUAAAUUUGACAAUUUUUUUUAAUGUGGUAUUUGUGUUAUUUUCUGAUCUAAUGUAAUACAUGUAUUUGACAAAAGUUACAGCUUUUGUACUUGAAGCUAACAAUGUUAAUUUUUUUUUAGUAUUCAAUUCGAGCUUUUGAGCUAAUUUGAUGAAAAUUUAUAAAUAGAUAAUAAUAUUAGAAAUUAACUUUCAUCAAAUCGACCCUAAAACCAAAAUUAAAACACUUCCAUUAAACAAAAUAAAUGCAAAAUUAAACAAAUUCACAAUUGACACUAAAUCUAUUCUAUUAAUAAAAUCAUGAAAAAAAAUUCAAAUAUAAUAAUAUUAGCAAUUAAAUUUUAUCAAAUUAAUCGUAAACAUAAAUUGAAACAAAAAAAAAUUAACACUAUUACCUUUAAGUAUUAAAAUAUAUAAUUUUCACAAAUAAAAGCAUUAUAAAAAUGUAUCAAAUUCGAGUACUAAUCCAUAAAAAAUACAAAAUUAAACACAUUCCACUCUUUAUGUUCACAAAACAAAAUGAAUUUCUUUUUUAACAAAAUCGUUUAUUUAUUUUUAUAAAUUUUGUACAAUGUUUAUAGGAUGUUAAGUGACCAGUCUUUAAUUUUGCGAUAAAUGAGCAGACCAUGCAUUUAAUUUAAGCUACUACAGUACUUGGGUUUUUGGACUGCCCUGCCCUGCGUGCCCAGUCCCACAUGCUUCCAUCAAUUUGUCCUUUCCUUCCCACUUGCAAAUCGCGAAUCAUAAUGUUUAUUCAUCAUUUAUAUUAUAUAAAUUUUGAAAUCUUAUUCAAAACUAUACUCUAAUUGGGUUGGUAGAGUUUUACUCUUUUUUUUUUUUAAGUAUUUUCCUUUAUUCCUUUAUAUAACUUUUUUAAUGUAUCACAUGCUUAAAUUUAGGUGGAGCAAAAAAAUUUUUUUAGGGGUCGAAAUUAAAUUAUUAUUUUUAUUAUAAUAAAUAUUUAAUUUUAUUAUUUUAAUAAUCUAUAUUUUUAUAAUUUUUAAAUAAUUAAAUCAAAUUUUAAAAAUUUUAAAGGGUCUAAAUGAAAAUUUUUCCAUUUGAGGAGGGUCGAGCCCCUGCCAACCCCCCUUAGCUACGCCAUUGCUUAAAUUGUUUUAGUUUUGAAUCUAGGCAUAAUGAUUUAUUUGUCCCUCUAACUUUACAAAAGAAAAAGCUUUUUAUUUAAUUUUUCGUCCUUUUCAGCUAUUAAACUUGUGUUGUUUGUUAAAUUACCUAAAAAUAAAUAGAAAAAUUAAUAUUUUUUAAAUUUGCCAGCAUGACAUACAUGUGGAUUGCUACGUAAACGUCACGUCAAUAAUUAAUUACUUUUUUAAAAUUUAAAAAAUUUAAAAAUAUAUAAAAUUAUUUAAAAUAUUUAAAAAAUGUUUGGCAUUAUUUAAAAAGUAUAAAAAUUAUUAAUACAUAUUUUUUAAUUUUAAAAAAUAAUUACUAACGUGGCAUAAAUGACAAUUUAUAUGUAUGUCACGUCAACAAAGUUAAUAAAUAUUAAUUUUUAUCAAUUUUGAGGUGAUUUGAUAAAUAAUAUAAAUUCAAUAACUAUAAAAAACGAAAAAUGAAUAAAUGACUUUUUUUUUUUUGCAAAGUUUAGUUAUUAUACCUUAAAUUUAGUUAUGUUGGUUCUACUAUUAAGGGCCAGUUCUUCAUUGCUUAAAAAAGUACUUCUGACCCCAAAAGCACUUUUAAAAGAAAAGCUGUAAAGAACAAUCUACUUUUGGCUAAAAUUUUUAGCUUUUCAGAAGUGUUUUUGAAAAGCACUUCUGAAAAGGAGCUGAAAAGGAGAAGCUAAAAAUUUUAGCUUUUCCUCUCUAACACUUUUGGUGCUUAAUUACUUUUUCACCCUUCCAAUAACAUAGUAUUUUUCUUUUUUUUCUUGGUGCUUGAUUACAAUUGUGUUAAAAUCAUUAAUUAAAAAUAAAAAAAUAUUUUUUAAAAUACUAAUUACAAAUAUUUAAUGGUUAUAUUUAAAUAUUUAAAAUAUAGUUUAUAUAUUCUAAUUAAAUUUUAUAAAUAAUUAAUAUUUAUUGUUUAAAAAAUUUAAAAUUUAUAUUUCAUAUAUUAAAAUAUUAACAACAAGUUAUAAUAAUUUUUUUAUAUUCUUACUAAAAUAUAAUAAUAUUAACUAAUUUAAAUAUUAUUUAAAUGCAUAUUUGUUACUUAAUAAUAACAUGUCUAAAAUGGACAUUUUAUUUCUCAAAAGCACUUUUUGACAGCAAUGCUAAUCACUCAAAUUUUAAACCAAAUUUUUCAAAAGCACUUCUCAAAAGCACUUUUCAAAAGUAAUGAAGAACUGUCCCUAAGUGUAACCUAAAUCACGGCAAUAUUUUUCGUGUGAAAAAGAAAAGGUAAAAGGACAAUUGGAUUUUAGUUAGAGACGGAGCCCUUUAACUUUAAAAGUUUUAAAUAUCGAAUUAGUAUUAAUUAAAAUUUUAAUUCUUUAACCAUUAACUGAAUCGAAAUUUUUAAAAAAAAUAACCGAAUCGAAAUAUUUCAGUUAAUUCGAUCGGUUAACCGAAAUUUAUAUGUUUUUUUUUUGUAGUAUAAAACAUAUCAAAAAAAUAAUUUGAUAAUGUUCAUUUGACCGAAUUAAUCAAGUUAAAACUACAUAUAAUUUGUAUUAUUGAUUAUUAAGUUCAGUUAAUUAUCCAAUUUUAAACUAAAUUAACUGAUAAUCGAACUUCCAAAAAAUUAUUAAUUGAUCUCUAACUGAAUUAAAUUAAUUAACUGAUUGAUUAACUAAAUUAAAUCAAUUCAGUCGAUUAAUUCGAUUUUUCUAGGCAUAAAAUCAAUGCUAGAAAAACGAACAUAUUUUUUGCUAAAGGUGUGGACGCGACAGUGGCGGACUCGAUUAGUUAUUUGUUUGGAUUUCAGAAAGUCCAGAAUCUUGAUCAUUACCUUGGUGUUCCUCUUUUUCAUCAGAGGGUGACUAAUGGUACUAUGCAUUUCAUUGUUGAAAAAGUGAGAGGAAAGCUCCAAAGCUGGGACGCUAAAAGAUUAUCCAUUGCUUGCCGCAAUAUUUUGGCCCAGUCAGUUCUCAUGUCUAUUCCUAGCUACUUUAUGCAGUCCAUGAUAGUCUCUAGGAGAGAGUUUGCGAUGAAAUUGAGAGCUUGGUGAAACAGUUCAUUUGGUGUUCUUUUGAGCUUAAAAAGAAAAUGUCUCUGGUUGGGUGAGAUUCCAUUUGUCAACCUAAAUGUUGUGGUGGUCUUGGUUUACGGAAACUGCGAGACUAGAAUAUCCCGUUUUUGCUAAAACUGAGGGAUUCCAUUUGAAUAUGUAUAUCUAUUUAGAAUUUUAAAUAUGCUUAUUAUCUAUAAAUUAUCUAAGUAUCACUAUCCAAAUCUGAAUUAAUACUAUUAUUAAUUGUAUAUCUAAAUUCGUAAAAAAGAAUCAAUUACAAAUUUUUUAGCAAUUUUCUGGAUAUCCAAAUACACAAACAUUUGAAUUCGAAUUCGCUAAAAUUCUUGUAUAUAAAAUCAAAAUUAUUUUUAACGGGUGAAUUCAAAUAUACGAAUUUGAAUUUACUUAUGCUAUCUGAAUAAACCAUGUAGAUCCAAAUAACAUAUAUUUAGGGUAUUGUUCCGCAACGGAUAAUAAUUCUAAAAUCUGAAUUUGAAAACUGUUAUAAUACACAAUAUCUGAAUCUGCAAUCUAAAUUGCCUUAUAGACAAUGUUUAAGGCACCUUAAGUUUUCAUGCUUGAUUUUUAGGGUUUUUUUAUUCAUUAUUUCAAUAAAAUAUACUUAAAGAAAUAUUGAAUGGCAUAAUGAUUUAUUUGGCUCUCCACUUUAUAAAAAAAAAUUUUAACCCUCCAUUUAUUUUUUACAUUUUUUAGCCCUUAAACUUGUAUUUUUUUUGUCAAAUCACCCAAAAAUGAAUGGAAAAAUUAACGACGGUUAACUUUGUUGACGUAUAGUUCACGUGAAUGCCAUGUCAACAGUUAAUUAUUUUUUCAAGAAUAUAAAAAUAUUUAAAACAUAUUUUUAUACCUAUUUUUUGUAAUUUUUAAAUAUUUUGAAUAAAGGUUAAUAAUUUAAAAUAAUUUUUAUAUAUUUUUUAAAUUUUUAAAAAUUAAUUAAUUGCUGAUGUGGCAUGCACGUGUAUUCCAUGUUAGGAAAUUAAACAAAUGCUAAUUUUUUUAUCCAUUUUGGGUGAUUUGACAAAUAACGCAAUUUUAAAGGCUAAAAGAGACGAAAAAUUAAAUGAAGAGCUAAAAUAACUUUUUUUUUUGUAAAUUUAGAGAGCUAAAUUAAUCAUUAUACCACAUCAAAUUUGUUACCACUCAAACAUGUAUCAAUAUUUAUUAUUAUCAUUAUUAUUAUUUUUAACAAUCUCAUAAUAGGCUCUGAUCAUAUCUAUCUUUUGAGACAAUACCUAAAACUACCCAUAAUCCCUCCUCAACCUAUAAAUAGGAGGAUAAUGCACUUCAGCGCACUCAAACCCACGUUCUCCUGCAUUGACAACAAUACCCAUACCAAUCAAACAAAAAUUCAAUCGACCAAAAACCAACAUAUUUAAUUUAACUGAAAAUUAUAAAUGUUGUUAACAAAUAUUUUAAGGUUGAAGGUUUCCUCUAAAAUCAUCCUAUUAGAUAAAUUACUUAUUUCUAAUGCAUUAAAAUUUGUACAACUAACCCUUAGCUAUUUAAUUUAAUAUAAAUAUUAUUGUAAUUAGUAACAAAUCAAUCUUAACAAGCAUUUGAAGAAAAACUCUUUAUCAAUUUUAAAUUUAAUUAUCUUAAAUAAUUUGUAGUUAUUUGUUUAGUGACUUAUAAGAGGAAGAUAAAGUAUUAAGAACAAAAUAAUUAGUACCACUCAAAAUCUAAUUAAAAUAUAGAAUAUAUUUCAUAAUUAUUGAGACACUGUUUAAUUUUUAUUAUGAAAUUUUAUGAUAAAUACAUCAUAUCUAAAUAAUUUAGAAUUAAAUACCACAACUUGGUUGGUUGAUCCCAUUUUUUCCAUUUUUGUCAUCAUAUUGUGUCGGGACAUGGUCUUCCUCUCCUGCUAAUUAGGCGUCUUUCGAUGAUUGCUUGGUGGGUUCUCUCUGUCACAGCUUUAGUAUAGUUUUUUCUCUCUCUGUUCUUAAGUAUAUUGUUUAAAAUUAAUUAAAAUGCUGGAAAAAAAAAUUAAAGGGGACAAUUGUCCAAUACUUUGCCGUUUUGUUUGCAUUUUCAACUUUGGAUUAUCUCUCAACUAUUAGUGUUUAGACAGGCAGAUAGAUAGUAGUGGCAUAACACGGUUUGAUACCUUCCUUGUCUUUUUAAUUAAUCAGUUAUUUAUUUGAAUUUGGUAAUAAUAAGUACCAAAUCUUUGUCUCAUAUCCCAAGAAUUAACGUUUUCGAAAGCGGUUCAUGUCCCAAUUUCAUUACCUUCCAAUUAAUGCCUUUUUGCCGAUUCCUCAAUUUAAUAAUUCAUGCAUUUUGAGAUUGAUGUUGUGGUAUGUAUGUUUUAAAUUUGAGUCACGUUAAUCGUAUUAGUUAUUCGAAUUUUAUCCUAUUAUUUUAAUUCAUCAAAAAAAUAAUAAUUCAUGUAUUUUGGUAAUGAGUGUUGCUGCAAGGGAGAAGACUUUGGACUGCAAAAGCAUAAAAUUAUGACGAUGGGUUUUCUUAUUCAAAGUGAACGAUCUCUUAUCUUAGUGUUGGGAAAAAUAAUUUUACCAUGGUUAUCAACAAGACUUUGAUAUUACCAAAGUUUGAAUUUAUCAUAUGUAUUUACUAUGUAUGAGUUUUUUUCUCAUCAUGGUUUUUGUUCAAUUUCUUUUCAGAUUUUAUCCGACUUUCAAUCCAUAAUGCAAUAUAACGUACCAUUGGAAUUAAUUGUAAUUAUGUUUAAAAUUUUCAAAAAAUGAUUGAUAUGUGGUUACAUGUAGCAAAAGCUACCUUUUCCUAAUGAAGUACCUUUUUCGAAAGGAUAGAAUUGUAUUGCAAACACAAUAUGAUAAUCCUUACAGUGAUGUACUGAUGUCUAUUAUUUAAUUUUUUUAAAAGGUGUUUGCAAUUUUUUAGAAUAUAUGCUAAUGUAUAUUUUUAAAUUUUUUAUAAUUAAUGAAUAAUAAUUAAGUUUACAGAUGAAGCAGAAAAAUGGGCCUGACAGGAAGGGAAAAAAAACCUAAUGGGACCAACUUGGGGAAAAUAUCAUCCAAACUAGUACAUCGAAUUCGACAAAAUGCUCGAAGAGGUCAUGCUCUGUAAACUUUAUAAAACCAUAAUUUUGUUGUUGUUUUAUGAUUCUUAUAUUCUCCAUUACAUUUUAAUAUUACAAAAAAUGAGCUAAGUUUUGCAAAUUGGAAUGCAAUUUGAGCCCACAAAAUUGGAGAAAUUCACAUUCAUUAUGAUUGAUGACCCUUUUAUUAUUUAUUUUUAGGGUAAACUAAAUUAGUAGCAGUUCAAUUACGGGUUUUUUCUUUUCGGGUCACCCAAUUAAGAAGAAUUACAAAAUAGUUAUUUAACUAUUAGUAAAUUUGUUUUGGUCACCCAAUUAUGAAAAGUUACAAAAUGGUCACUCAACUAUUCAAAUUUUUUUUGUCACCCAACUUUCUUGAAUUUUUGGGUGUUUCCAUUUUUAUAUUAGCCAACUAGUGAUAGAAAAGACAAUCAAAUAGUUGAGUGACUAUUUUGUAACUUUUCAUAAUUGAGUGAUCAAAAAAGAAAUUUAUUAAUAAUUGAGUAAUUAUUUUAUAAUUUUUUAUAGUUGGGUGACAAAAAAAAACUUUAUUAUAAUUUACUUUUAUUUUUAAUAUAUUCUAUAAAAGUGUUAUUAUGUAUAUAUAUAUUUAAUUGAACAGGAUAGUCUUAAACUAUGCUCCUUUUUAAGUUAGUCACCUAGCUAAAUUUUUUUUGGUCGAACUUAACACCUAAACUUUUUUCUAUAACCAAAGUUGGUUUUUACUGUUACCUCGUUAAAAAAAAAUUCAGAACUAAUCAUGAAGUGUCAUGUCAUCAUCUCAUUAAAAUCUAAUUAAAUAAAAAAUUUAUAUUAAUAUUACAUAAAAAUAACUAUUUUAUUAUUAAAUAAAAUAAAAAAAAUAUUCCUUCCCCACCCUCGUCCCUCGUCCCUCUUCCACCCUCUCGCUCCCUGGAACUGUGAGCUACCAACGCGCUCACCACCUUUGGAUGCCUAGGUUGAUGAACAUCUCUUUUUCCAUUUUCAGUACGUUAAGAGCAUGCAAUCGGCUUCAGUGUGGUGUGUAACAAAAGAAUAGAGGCGAUACUAGCCGACCAGAUUAAAACAGAGUGAAAACGGAUCGGAAUAGAUGCAUGAGGAGUAUUUGCAAGUGGGUUUAGGUAUCUACCUAGCUCUUGAACUGCAAUUUUGUUGUAGUAGGCAUUAAUAAAUCUUUCAUUUGCAAGUGGUGAGUAGCGUUGGCAGCUCACGGUUCCAGGGAGCGGGAGGGGGGAAAGGGAGGAGGACGGGAUGGGGGAGGGAGAGCGACGGUGGAGGAAUAUAAUUAGUUUUACUUAAUAUUAAUAUAAAAUUUUAAUUUAAUUAGAUUUUAAUGGCGCUUCGUGAUUGGUUCUCUUUUUAAUGAAUGUAAUGUAGCGGUAGGGAACAACGUUGAUUAUGGAAUAAAGUUUACAUGCUCGAUUUAAUCGAAAAAAAAAUUUAAUAUCUAAGUUAGGCUGAGUUUAGAUGGGCGGUGUGUUUACUUGCGGUUAAUGUAAAAACAGCGGUGACGGUGAGAUUAAAUACUGUAGUAAUAUUAUAGCGUGAGACAAAAAGUAAGCUAAACGCCCAUCCAAACCCACCCUUAAACAAAAGGCAUAGUAUAAGGUCUCCUGUUCAAUUAAGCCUUUUAUAUAAUAUAUUGCUUAAUUUAUUAUUUUAAUAUAUUUCAUGUAUUAAUGAUAUAAAAUAUUACUUUAUGCAAAUUUGAUAAAAAUAAAAUAAUUUUAUGUAAGAUGAUAUUAAAAUAUUUAUUUUUAAUUUCAGUCCAUAUUAUCAUGGUUUUAUUUUAUUCAUAUUUAUCGUGAUUUUUGUUUCGUCAGUUGUGUUAUUUUAAAAGCGAAUGUGAUUUUUUAUUUUUAGUCUCUUCUGACAUAUAUGCAAGGUUUGUCAAUAUAAGGGUGUCACCAUAUCUAUUAUGAACCAUUCGUUGAAGGGCUUUAUCUAUCAUUGUAAAUCAUAAUAAUGGUGAUAAAUUUGAAAUGAUGAGGAGGAGGAGGAUAAGCCAUUUGAGAAUCAGUAUUUUGUGCAUCACUAACGUGGUGGAUCUGUUAGAGCUUUUGGUAGUUUUUUCUUAGUUGAUCGGUGUUUAUCAUUAGGUUGAUUAGAUUAUGGCGGAGCUAGGAUGCAAAUUUCAAUGAUUUGAUCAGGUUAAUGCAUCUCUGAUUUGUUUCUAAAUUGUUCCAAUGUUGUAGUUACUGUCAGUCUAUCAUUCUCUUUUCUUUUUUUUUUUUGAGAUUAUUCUGCAAAUAUUGCAUUUGUGUAUUAAUUUAUAGUGAUUUAUUUACUGUUUGUAUUAUGUGUUAUGUUUUCGUAUUAUUAUUGUUCCUGAUUUCUAUUAAUAAUAGUAUUUUCUUUAAAAAAAUAAUUUAUAGACUAUCAAUACAUUAAACAUAAAUUUAAUUUUUCACAUUAUAUUUAGAAUAGUCAUAAGUAUUCACAAAAUUUUAUUAUUUAUACUAUUUUUUUUCUCUGUGCGAUGUACGAGUUAAUUGUAUGUAUUAAUUAAAAUAUAUUAUAUUGAAUUAAUAAAAAUUGUACAAAUUUUGUAACAUUUCAUAAAUAGUAUUAUUGAAAUAUUAAAAAUAAUAUAAAUAUUAAAAUUUUAUAAAUGAUGAUAGUUUAAAUUAUAAUCAAUAUAAAUUAACACAAAAAAUUAAUAUUUAAAAUAAACUUAAAUGUUUUGAUAUUACUCCCAACUAUAAUUUUAGCGUUACUCUUAAAAAAGAAUUAGAAUGUUAUUUAAAAAUAAAAAAAAAUAAUGAUGUAAAUUAAGUUAUUAACAAAAAAAUAGUACAUAAAGAAAAGUUGUAUAAAAAACACACAAUUGGAAACUCCAUUAAUAAAUAAAUCUAUAUUAUUUCAAUAAUAUUUUUAAUAUAUUUCUCAUUUAUUUAUUAAAGAAAAAAAUAUUUGAUAUAUACUGUACAUGAAUGAAUGUGUAAAAUUUAAAAUUUAUGGGCUUGAAGCACAUAUUUAUAUUUUCCAGCAUUGGAUAUUUAAAACCGUAUAUAAGGACUUAAAAAAAAUUAAAACUAGAUUUAUGACUAAAUCAACUAUAACAAAGGUUAUUGACAAUAUGAUUUUGUUAUAUGAAUGAGUAUUUAAUGUUGAUAUAUUUUGAUAAGGAAAUUAAAUUGAAAUAAUAUUCAUUUUAAACUUUAGUUAAUUAAGACAUCUUGCAAAUAAUUAGCGUGACAAAUGACGGUUACUUAACUGUGUCACAUUGGAAUGAUUUCUUUACUUGUAACUUUACAUUGCUAUAGUAUAUUUAGGAGUGAUAUCGGUUCCGUUCGGUUGAGUUUUUUUAUAACUUUUGAACUGUCUAUCAUAGUUUGGUUUGGCUCAAUUUAGUUCUCGGUUUUUUAUAUUUAUUUUAUUUUAUUUUAUUUUUUAAAUUUAUUUUGAUAAAAUAAGCUUUGUUUUAUGAUUUUUUAAUAUUAUUUGAAUUUUUUUAGAAAAAAAAUCUAAAAAAUAAUUUUCAAAAAUUUUUAAAUUAUUUUCACUAUUUUAAAUAUAAAAUAUUUAUUUUUAUAUCAUAAAAAAAAUUAAAAUUAAUUAUAUAUAUAAAAUAAAAUAAAAUAUAAUUCAAUUUCGGAUAACUCCCAUUCAAGUAUUAAAAUAAUUGAAUUACAAAACCCAUUACCUUUAAAUUGAAGUAAUUUUAUAUCUAAUUAUUUUAACAUAUAUAUUAGAUAAAUAUUGUUAGGCUGUGUUUAAUAUUUGCAACCAUUUUAAACCCUACUUCAUUUAAUAUUUUGUUAUGACAUAAUAAAUCUCCAUAAGGAUUUAGUCAAUGAUGAUGGAUGAUCUUUAUAAUCUUCAUUUCAGCCAUGUCAUCAAUAUCUAGCUCUCAUUUAUUCUUUGGCAUAAAUCUUGAGGAAGAGCAUAAUUCAUAUGCAUGGUCAUGGUAUUUGUACCUUCUAAACGGCAGUGUUUUAAGUUGGGAAGUCUAAUAUAUAAUAUAGAGCAUGGAUUAUGUUAUGUUAUUGUUGUAUGUUUUUUCCAUUUAUUGUUUCUUUCAAGUUUGUUACCAAGCAGGUUUCUACAUCUCAUUUAUUAUUGAAGUAUUGAGUGCAAUAAUAAGAUACAUUACAUUCUCAAAAGAAAAUUCAAGUUCAAGUCUUGAAGGUAAUAUAAUUGGCGUGGUAUAAAAUGGAUAUAAGAAAAAAGGGCGUAGUGAUAAAUUUAAGUAGGGCUUUAACCCUUACAUAUAUAUUUCUUUUUCAAUUCAAUUCUCUUAAUUAUAGAGAAAUUAUAAAUUAAUAUAUAGCGCAAUUGCAUUCUGGCUCCCAAAAUGAAAAUUUUCAAUUCAGUCCUGUUAUAGAUAAAAAAUCGUAAAUUAAUAUAUAGUGAAUUUGUACUUUUCCCCUUUAAAAAUGAAAAAAAAAAUUAAUGUUUAGUUCCUUCAAAAUGAUGAAAUUAUAAAUUAAUACAUAAUAUACUUAUAUUUUGAUCUAUGUAAAAAAACAUAAUUAAAUUUUGAUCAUUGCUAAAAAAAAAAUUUGGAUUCAUCCUUGUGAGAGUAGUUAUUAGAUUUGUUCAUGGGUUGGGCUAUCUGCUCAGGCCCGAAAGUCUACUUGAAAUUUAGGAGGGUUUGGGUAAAAAAUUUAGGUUCAUUUAAAAUAUGGGCCGGGUUCGGCCCAUUUUAAGUUUAUAAUAUUUUAUAUUAUGUUAUUUUUAUAUAUUAAGUAAUUUGGAACACAUUAAAAAAUAAACCUAUACUAAAUAUAUAAUACUACUCUAAUGUAAACAUAAAAAUAAUGUUAAGAUAACUAUAUAAAAUAAUUCAAUAAAUAAAAAAAUGUAUAAAAUUAUUAAAGGGAUAAAUCUCAAAACUAUACAUGAAUUUUAAUUUGGUGCAAUUAUAUAUGUGAAACUCUAAUUGUGGUUUAAAUGUAUACUUGAAACUUUAAUUUUGAUUUAAUCAUACACAUUUAAAGAAAUAAAUACAUCAAUUUAUUAUACAGAUAAAUUUGUAUAAAACUGAUUUAAAAGAUAAGGGAAUUAAUUCCUUGACUUGUUUUUUGAUCUUACGAAAUUUGGCCAUCCUUUUGAUUCCUUUUCUUUUUUUCCUUUUUUGGGUGGUUUUGGCUAAAACUGACCUAUGCCUCACAACACCAGUCUUUGAAAACGACGUAGCUUUAGAUUUUUUGAAACUUCACUUUAUUAUACAGGGAUGAGGAUGGGGGAGGACAAAACCUUUUCUUUUUUUUCCUCUCUCUCUUUUUUUACCGCUGUUUUUUUAAAUCCAAAUUUAUUUAAAUUCUUCAAAUUAUUACUUAAUCCUUCCUAAGUUUUUAUAUGAUUUCUUAUGUUAUGUUAAAAUUGUUAUAAGAUCCAAUAAAAUAAUAUCAUAAUAUUUUAUAUAAAUAAGUUAUCACAAAAGGGGUGAGGUUAGAUUUAAAUUUGAUCUCAAAUUCCUAAUUAAAUAUUGAUUAAGUCUUAGCUCAAUUGGUAUAAAUAUUAUUAUCAAUGUAAGAAGACGAAGGUUUAAAUAUGCUAAAACGUAUUAUUAUUUUAUUUAUGGAUUGAGAAUGGCUAUGAGUAAUUUUAGACAUUCUAUUAAAAAAUAUAUAUAUCAUUAGAAUCUCAACUAUUUUUAUAUACAAUCAAUUUAAAUUAAUGAAAAUUUUAAACAAAAACAAAGGUGGUUCUUUGCACUUAGGAAGGGACGUUUGAAAAACAAGUUUAUAUAAUGUAAGAGGUGAAAACCGCUAACCGCCGCCGUAUUAAAAGAAGGCAAACAAGGCGGCCUGUUUUUCUAAGAAUAAUCUUUAUUAAACCACCGUAACCAGGGAGCAAAAAGAACUGUCACGAGCCGCUGCCAUCUAUCAAUUAAGAAACAUUGGGCCACUUUCACCUGUAUUUUAUUUGGAUAUUGUGGUGUGCCAUAGUAUACCAUUUAAUUUAAUAUUAUCUUAAAAAAAAUUUAAUUUAAUGUUAUAUUUAAAUGUUUUAUUGAAUCAUUAAUCGAAUGGAUUUCGGUUCAUUGUGAAAACACUGAAAAAAUUAUUAUUUGUACAAGUAAAAAAUAUUAGUUUGAAGACAUUUUUAUUUUUAUUUAUACAAAAUCUAAAAAAAAUGCAUACACAAAAUCAUAUUUGAACUUAAAAUAUUAUGGUCAUUAAUAUCUUAACUUUAGUAUUUCAAGUAAAGCUUAACUUGACUGUUUAUAGUAAAAGACACUUAUUCCCUUAGGUUUGAUGUAAAUACACUUACCCCUAUAGUUUUAAGAAUGCAAACAUACUCAAUUGGCAAAGGCAGAGGUCCUGGUCUGAAACUUGCUAUGCUCAAUUAUAUGUGUAGGUCUCUGAGUCCUAUUAUGUAUGAGAGUUUUAGUCUAGUUGGUCUCAAUUAAUUGACUUUAGUCUGGAUUGUAUCAUCUCUUAGUCUACUUAUGCUGUAAUAAUUUGAUUAUACUUAGUGAUUACUCGGACAAUCUUUUAUAAAAGUUUAAUACUUAUAGUUACUUGGAUAUGUAUUUGUGAUUGAAUUGUAUUUGUUACAAUUAAAAAAAAAGCCAAAGUCUAAUUAAUAACUUCGUUUUGUAUUGUUUUUUUUAAAGAAUGCAUCUUUCUCCAAGUUAAGUUUAUAUAAGUUUUUAUAAUUAAAGCAAUGAAUUAUUUUGAACUAUGAACCCAUAUAAGGUUGAAGCUACUUAUGCAAAUAUAAAUGAUUUUCUUGCAUCAUAUCGUAAGUCAUAAUACCAUUUGAAAGAAUGAUACCAAACACAAGCACCAAAGAUAGGUAGUGAACUCUUUAAUUUGAUAUAUUCAAGACUUUGAAAUAUGGUUGAGAAAACACUUAUUGUUCUAAAAAAUUAUUUCUUAUAUUAACAGAUCACCUUAAUACAACAUAAAAAAAAGGUUGGAUCAUACUAACAUGUUGCAUAUUUCAUUACUUUAAUCAUAGGCGGAAUUGAGAUGAUUUAUACUUUGAAGAGUACAUAGAAGAAGGAGAUAUUGAUAAUCUUAAUGGUGUAGAUUCAAAUUCAGAUGAUGAUGAAUAAAAAAAUUAUAUAUUUUGAUAUUAAAAAGAAAACAAUGUAUUUUUUAAUGUUUGAUCGAAUUUUAAGUUUGAUUUAUGAAAAAUAAUUAUUAAUAAAUCUCUCAUAAAUUUUAAUCUAAUUAAAUUUUUAGACCAUAUUUGCUUAGUAAAAUGAUAAAAUUUAAAUUAUUUCUAAGUAUAAUAUAGGGCCAAUUUACCAAUAAAAGCUUCAUUUUUUUUAUAAAUUUACCGAAAUGGGCCCGGUAUUUUAUUAUUUAUCGGAAUGGGCCAUUUUCCAGCAAAUCGCAUUCACGUCAGCGCGAUGUCAGGGGACGUGCCAGGAAAUCGCGACCACAUCAGCGCGCUUUGCUGACGUGGCCGCGAUUUUAUAAAAAAAUAUAAAAAAAUUAAGCUUUUGUUGGUAAAUUGGCCAGUACAAAUAACAAAAACAAUAGCAAAAAUAACAACAAAAACAGCAGAAAAACAACAGCACCAAAACACUAGAAACAACAAGAUAAUUUUUAUUAAAAAAUAAUUAAUUUAUUUGGGUCGGGCCCUAGCCAAAAACUUUUACCCGAGGCUCGAUCCGUUUAGAAAACGGGCCUCAUUUUUUAUUCAAACACAUUUUUCGAAUUUAUAUUUUUAUUCAAAUCCUAUUAUUUUUUGGGCGGACCUUCGACCCAAGCUAAACAACCCGAGCCAUGAUCAGGUCAAUAAUUGGAAGUUCUUUCAAUUUGUACUUUUUUGUUGAUCUUUUUACCUAUUGUUUGAAUGCUUUUCUUUUUCUUUUUUCUUUUCCUUAAAAAGAAUUCUUUUCUGCUAUUAAUCAUCACCAAUAGAAAAUUUUUAUAAUAUGUUUUUAAUCAUUAAUGUCAUUAUAAUUAAAAUUUAUUUCAUUAUUUUUAUUAAUUGCUAAUUUUGUAAUUCUUAUUUUUAAAUCACUAUGAAUAAUUGUGAAAGAACUUUUUGACCUUUUAAAAUUUUGACUCUAAUUUUUUUUAAAAUUUUCUCUCAUUUUUUUUAACUUUAUCGUCAAUAUGCUUUAGUCUUCCUUUCCACAUUCUUUUGAAAUAUCUUAUUUAAUUAUUUGCAAUGCUUCCUCUCAACACCAAAAUUGAGAGGAAAUUUGAGAGAGGAUUAGUUUGUGAAAAAAAAAAAGGUGGGGGUAUUUAUAGUUUUUUUUUGGGACCGUUGGGGGGGGAAUUGCGGCCACGUCAGCGUGAUUUGCUGACGUGGCAACAAAUCGCCCCCUCGUAGACACGAUUUGUUGCCACGUCAGCAAAUCGUGCUGACGUGGCCGCAAUUUCGUGGCACAUCCCCUGACAUCGCGCUGAUGUGGACGCGAUUUGCCGGAAAAGGCCCAUUCCAGUGAAUAAUAAAAUACCGAACCUAUUUCGGUAAUUUUAAAAAAAUUAAACUUUUUUUUGGUAAAUUGCCCAUAAUAUAGAGUAAUAAUAACAUAUCUUUUUAUUAUUUGAAUUUGUGUGUGGUGUAGACCAGGCCUAGGGGUGUGUGUUGGCCAGUUGGGUUAGACAUCGAGUCGCCACGCGAACCUCACAGUGGAAACUUUGAAGCUCUGUUGCUUUCAUCACCUUUUACGUCAUAUUUUUAAUUGUUGAUGAUUGAAUACUAAUUUUAAACUUAUCAUCACAUUUUAAAGAAUAAUAACUUGAGAGAAUGUCCUAAUUAAAAUUCCAACUAAAUUUUUUUAUAUAAUUACAUCAAAUUAAAUUUAAUUGGCAUCAUUAAAAGGAAAAUGGGGCGACACACAACCGACAGAUAAUCAUGGAUUAAUAAUGUCUGAAAAUUGCUGAAAUUGUACAUGUAGCACGUGCAGCUAUACCUUGACACGUGCUACUACCAUAUGAAAUUCCUCCAUUUAAUUAAUUUCCAAUUUAUCUCCCUCUCUCUAACUGGCCUUCUGAUUUAUGCCUUAUCUCUCUCUCUCUCUGUUUCGCCGGCUGCUCUGAAAGUUCCUUAUCUCGUCCCAACAAAUUAUUUUCUUCCAUUAAAUUCAACCCAAAUUCAAGGUAAAUUAAAAUUUACUUUCUUUUAUAUCAACGAUUUUCCUUUUUGGUUUUUCAAUUUCGAUUGCUUAAUCUUUUUUAUUUAUUUAUAAUCUCGUCCAGUUUCGAAGUAGUUCAAUUUUCCCCGCUUGUAAGUAACUGUGUUAUGGAUCUGUUAAUAUCUGGCUCUGUUUGGCUUCCGAGAAACUUAAAAGCUUACCGGAAAUUUUCUAAGAAAUGAAACUUUGUUUUGAACGAGUUCAAUCCAAUACGCUUCUCUUUCUUGAGCUGAAAGUAAAAAAAAAAGGUUAUUUAUUUUUAAAAUAAAAAUAAGCCAAUCUCGAGCUAUGUUAUACCCAGCUGAAUUUAUUUAUACUGCUGUGUUCUUUUCUCUCUAGAUAGUUCAGAUUGUUCAUUUCUCGACCAGUCAUAGAAAAGAUCGGCAGGUUUUAGCUUAAUAAGAAGCUAGUUUUGUUUUUCAAUCUUUUGAUAUUUGCUUGUCUCAGAAAUAGUUUCAGCUUUCUUAUUGAACUUCAAUUUUCUAAUUCUUGGAACAGGAUGAUGGAGCGCCUGCCUGGUCUGUAGUGAAUUAUCAUUUUUUAGUACCGAUUGGCCAGAUUUGGGGUUGAAUCGAAUCUCUUUGGAUAAAAAUGGAUCGCUGUGACACUUCUGGAUUUGUUAGUGGGGGUGGGAGUUACUCACUCAACGACUUCUAACCGUAGUAUUUUUGUGGCUAAUUGUCUUCACCCGGAAGUCAGGUUGACUGCUCUAUUGGAAUUGAGAUUUGGUCUGCAUAUCAUUGUUUGAUUUCAGCUGUUCCUAGAUGGAUUCCAGGUUCUCAAACGUGGGGUUCCCUGCUAAUUAUUCUUUGAAUGCAUUCAAGAUUUUGGGUAAUUCAAUGCAAGUUGGAGGAACUGGGGGUGCGUAUAACAUGGAUACUGUUCUACGUCUUGAUUCUGCUGGCUCUUCAGUCCCUUACAUGUCUGCAUCAAAGGGAAUCAAGAGGAAGUGGAGUUCGAUGGAUAGAUCCAUCCGUGGGCAAACUGGGUCGUUAUUGGCUCUUGGGCUAGGCCGCUCCUCUAGUUCCUCAGACAGCAAGGGGAGUUCAACAACUGCUUGUACUACUACAUCUUCAGCCAACGAAGCUGAUGAAGAGUCCUCAAUGGAUAUUGAAUUGGAUUUUAUCCUCCAUCUUGGCAACGAAAAAGUAAUCAACCCCAAGAAAUCUGCUAGUUCAAGUCCAAAAGGACUGGAUUUGCAGCGAAAUGUGGACCUGGAAUUAAGUCUUUCAUCUGGGCUUUCUGAAUCUGAUAUCACUAGUGUCCAUCUUAGCUCUUCUCCCAGUCAGUCAGUUAUGAAGAUGCCAACAGCAGUUGAAGGCUCCCCAAAUGAAGAUGAAAGAUCUACAUCUUGUCACUGGAAACCUGGAAUUGGUUUGCCUUCAUUCCAGAGUUUACCAGCAAAAGAGGCUAGUGUCUUCUGCAAGGAGGUUCCAAGAGGCAUUGAUCUUUCUCCUAUUGUUCCAGAGCUAUCUUCAAGCGUGGUUACUACACCGAAAAGCUCGGUCACCUGCACUUCCGGGAUGACACGGCAACAACAGCCACAACACCGCAGCUCUAGUUCAAAGACAUGUCAGGUUGAAGGAUGUGUAAGGGGGGCCAGAGGUGCUUCUGGCCGUUGCAUAUCUCAUGGUGGUGGCAGGAGAUGUCAAAAGCCUGGCUGCCAUAAGGGAGCAGAGGGCCGGACUGUGUAUUGCAAGGCCCAUGGUGGUGGUCGGCGAUGUGAAUUUCUUGGUUGCACAAAAAGUGCAGAAGGCCGUACUGAUUUCUGCAUUGCCCAUGGUGGUGGUCGGAGAUGUGGCCAUGAUGGAUGCACUCGAGCUGCCAGAGGCAAAUCAGGACUAUGUAUACGUCAUGGUGGUGGGAAGAGAUGUCAAAUGGAAAACUGCAGUAGGAGUGCUGAAGGCUUCUCAGGACUCUGCAUCUCACAUGGAGGCGGGCGGAGAUGCCAAUUUAUAGGAUGCACAAAGGGGGCACAGGGGACCACCAUGUUCUGCAAGGCACAUGGUGGUGGAAAAAGGUGCACGUAUCCGAGAUGUACAAAGGGUGCUGAAGGGAGUACUCCUUUCUGUAAGGGCCAUGGAGGGGGAAAAAGAUGUGCAUUUCAAGGUGGUGGUGUUUGUACAAAGAGUGUGCAUGGAGGAACCAACUUUUGUGUAGCGCAUGGUGGAGGUAAGAGGUGUGUGAUGCCUGAAUGCACAAAGAGUGCAAGGGGACGUACUGACUAUUGUGUUCGCCAUGGUGGAGGCAAAAGAUGCAAGUUUGAAGGGUGUGGCAAAAGUGCACAAGGUAGCACGGAUUUCUGCAAGGCACAUGGUGGAGGAAAGAGGUGCUCCUGGGGCCAUCCUGGGUCAGAAUAUGGGAACCAACCUUCUGGUCCUUGUAACUAUUUUGCAAGGGGAAAGACAGGUCUCUGUGUGCUCCACAGCAGCCUGGUUCAAGAUAAGAGGGUUCAUGGGGGUGCAACGCUUGGGCCUAUUGUUGAAGACCAGAAACUCAGCAAGUCUGGGGAGAUGAAAGAGAUUGUUAAUGCCAUGGAUGCAAAUGUCGACACUAGGAACAUAUGGAGUGACGUAGAAGCUUCUGCAAGCACAAGUUGUUCUAGUUUGAAUCAAUAUGGAGUUCCAAAUGCUUGUAACUCUGUCUCCAAAGGAGGGUUCUCUGUUUCAGCUCCUGAAGGUAGAGUCCAUGGUGGGAGUUUGUUGGCAAUGCUAGCAGGCGGUUCCUGUGUUGGCUCAGCCAACAGUGCAGGUUUUACCGGCAAUCCAGCAGGGCCAAAUAAAUCUAUGAAGCCACCCCAGAACUGGAUGUAGGUUUAUUUCACAAGUAUUAUCAAAUUAUUAUUGGAAAAGUUAGCCAGUAUCCCUGCUUGUUUGCAUCCUUUGGUUGUUAGUUUGUUAGUGUUAGAAACUUUUCGCGGUUCAUUAGUCUAGUUUGUUAUCAUUGGGGGGAUGGGGUAGGCAAUAUAGCUUACAAUGAAUCAGGGUCUUUGUUCAUUCCUGUAAAUGUUUCACAUAUUUCCAGCAUGUUGUUGUGAAUAUACAGAGUAGUGCCUGUAAGAUGAAUCAGUUUGUCCGACAUUAGUGGUUAUAAUAAAGCUUUCUUUGGGAUCAUAUUCAUCAUUUAGCUAUUUUUAAGUUGCCCAUAAUCUCUAAAUCUUCAAGGAUUAUGCAGACCUUGAAAGUGAAAGCAAUGAAAUUCUCUUCUUAAAUCUUUUUUUGUUAAUAUAUUUCAAUUGAACCGACAAAAGUAUAGAUGGUCUGAGAGAUAAGCAUACAAGCAUGUGGGAAGAAAUCACGAGUAAGCUUUGAUUGGAUAUAGUGGACAAAAGGUUUUGUCAAGUAGAAGACGGAGCUCGUGACUGUUCACUGUUUAGAUCAGACCAAAUCCACUUGGAUGGUAAUGAUAAUGCAAAAUAUGAAUAUCUGUAAAUAUUCCAAUUUUUUUCCACCAAUUCGAGCAUUGUAAAUUAAGAUAAUAUUGGGAGUUGCAUGUUAUAAUUGUUAUUCGUAGUUGAUUUGGAAUGGGAGUGGAUGUUAAUCGUUUGAUGUCUAUAUUGAUUGUAUCCAAAUUUGUUUUAGGAUAAUAGAUUCAAAUUCUAAUUUCUAAAUUUAUUUUUUUGGGUUUUAUGUAAAUACAGAAAUUUUAAAAUUGAACUUUUUUAGUAAAAUACAGAGAUUUGUUAAAUAACUAUGCUUUAUCAAACCUAGAUAUUAUGUUAAUGCAAAUUCAUUUUUUAAAUUACAAUUAUAAUUAAUACUAAAACUUUAUAUACGUGUGGAAAUUAUGUAUUUAAAAUACAUACGCAUGUUCAAAAAUAAUAAAAUAAAUCUAUAAGUGAGCAUAUAAAAAACAUCACAAUAAAAUUUUGGUUGACUGAUAAAUUAAAAUUUUACUAAUACAAUUAACAUAAAUAUGCAUAUUUUUUUUAAUUUUUUAAAAUAAAAAAAUUAAAAUAUCCUUAAAUAAUUAAAAACAAUAUUUUCGUAAUUUCUGUUUCGAUAAAGGAAGCAUCAAGCACUAGCACGCCAUUAGCAUGGUUAUAAUUUAUUAGACUUGCAACGUAAUCUGGCGCCAAGGAGUCCCUUCAAAAAUUGAAAAUAUUAUAUAACUUCUUUCAACUGUCAAACCAUACCCAUAUAAACCGUCACAAAUGAUGUAUGCUAACCAAAUUUGUAAUUUCCACAUCAAGCUUGUCUUCUGUUUUCUCCUCCGUAAAUAGCGGGAACUGAGUGGCUCUCCUACGCUUCCUCCGCCGACAUCCUCCGUGUACAUCAGCCGCUUUUUCUUCCCCUUUUCCGGUGACCCUUCUCCCUCAUCUGUCAAUACAUCCACUUCUUUCGCUUCAUUUUAAUUUUGGCAAUCAACGAAAUUACCAUUCAAUUAUUAGAAACCCCAAAAACAGGGCAUACCUAUUACCUACUAGGCGUGAAAUAACGUUGGAGAUCCAAGGAUUUUCUUCUUCUUUUUCAACAAUUUUUUUGUUUGCGAAACAAAAAAAAUUUCUGGAGAACAAUCAAAAUAAUUUUCUACAUCGGGUUUUAAAAGAAAAAUCUCAAGGCAAAGCAAUGGAUCAAAAGCAUGUACUGUUAUCGGCAUUGGGUGUAGGGGUAGGGGUAGGGAUGGGGCUGGGAUUGGUUUCGGGUCAGAGCAGAUUGACCGGAAGCGGUUCGGUUGCAUCAACCGGCCUCACUUUGGAGAAUAUGGAGAAAGAAUUGAUCCGCCAAAUCGUUGAUGGCAGAGAAAGUCAAGUCAGAUUUGAUGAGUUCCCAUAUUACCUCAGGUAAACUCUCCAAUUUUCUCAUAAUCCCUUAUCCUACAUCGCUUUUCAAUAUUUGAAAACGUUUGUUCAUAGUUUAUGAUAAGGCUGAUACAGGUAUGUUUAAUGUUUUAAAAAUUUUCAUGAGUCUUGAAGGGUAAUAAUUUCGUAUUCAUAUUCAAAUAUACAUCAAUGUCAAUCGUUGAUGGUGUUGUUUUGCAGUGAGCAGACACGGACGUUGUUGACCAGUGCUGCCUAUGUCCACCUGAAACAUGCCGAUGUUUCCAAGUACACAAGGAACCUUUCCCCUGCUAGUAAAGCCUUAUUGCUGUCGGGGCCUUCGGGUUCGUUAUCCCCAAUAUUUUUCUUUUUCUCUCCUACUAUGCUUCAUGCAUCUGUUUCUGCAAAUGUUGUAAUUUGCACUGUUUCUUGUUACUGAAGAACUUUACCAACAAAUGCUUGCCAAAGCUUUAGCUCAUUACUUCGAAUCAAAGUUGCUGCUGUUGGAUGUAACUGACUUUUCCUUAAGAGUGAGUAGUCUUUCACAUUUUCUUAUUUCCCCCAUUGAGCACUCGUGUUUGACAUCUAUGUCUGACAUAGAUACGGAGAUAUCACACUCUAAAAGCUCUUCAUAGACAUACCUGUACCUAACAUUUAUAUCCGAGUCUGAGUAACAUAGCCUAGCGGUGUUUUUAAGCUUUUCAUUUGACAGUUAAAACUGGUUACCUAUGUGCAGAUUCACCAUAAAUAUGGAACUCCCAAAGAAUCUGUAAGUCUUUUUUUUUUUUCUCUUUUUAUGGUAAAAUUUUCUCCUGUGGAACAUGGAAAUGGAUCAAUCCUGCUUUGGAUUUUUCUCUAAUCUUUGAUUCUGUCGUGCAGUGUUUCAAAAGAUCCCCUUCGGAAUCAGCACUAGAGCGGUUGUCUGGUCUGUUCAGUUCUUUUUCACUCCUUCCACAAGAGGAACCUAAGGGUAAUUCAGUGGAAAAUUACAUUUUUCUUAAAUAUCCAUGUAUGCUAUUCGUAUUGACAUGGCUAUGAGGAUACGACACUUCAAGGAUCUUCUGAGAAAACUCAAAAAAGAAAAAGUUAAACAAUACCCGAUCCCUCGUUGACUAUCAACAAUAUGUUGUAUUGCAGGUAGAUUGAAGCGGCAAAGCAGUAGUGUGGAUAUUGCAUCAAGGUACUGAGACAAACAUUUCUGAUUGAUUCCGUGAGAAAUGUGUAGCCAAGAGUUUAAUCUUCUGUUUUUCGAUAUUUAUGGUUCUUGCAACAACAGAGGAAAUGAAGGCCCUCCAAAGCUCCGUAGAAAUGCCUCUGUAUCGGAUAAUAUGAAUGGCCUUGCCUCCAAAUGCUCUCCUGCAAAUCUAGGUUUGUCCUCUCAAGUUUCAUGAAUGAAAGGCUUCAAUUCUCAUUUCACGGUUGCUUUAAUAUUAUUUUAUCUCCCUUGUUUUUAGCUCCUAUGUCGCGGACAAGCAGUUUGUUUUUCGAUGAGAAGUUGCUUUUACAAGCUCUUUACAAGGUGUUGGUUUAUGUGUCGAGAGCCACUCCCAUUGUGCUGUAUCUUAGAGAUGUUGACAAGCUCUUGUUUAGAUCGCAACGGUUCUAUAAUUUCUUCCAACAAAUGUUGAAGAAACUGUCUGGGAAUGUGUUGAUACUUGGGUCACGAGUUGUUGAUCUCAGCAACGACCGAGAGUUGGAAGAAAGGCUAGCUGUGCUUUUCCCUUACAACAUUGAGAUCAGGCCACCAGAAGAAGAACAACAUCUUGUCAACUGGAAAUCUCUACUUGAGAAAGACAUGAACAUGAUCCAAACUCAGGAUAAUAAAAAUCACAUCAUUGAGGUGCUUUCGGCUAACGAUCUCGAUUGCGAUGAUCUUGAUUCUAUCUGCAUUGCAGACACGUUGGCACUCAGUAGAUACAUUGAGGAAGUUGUGGUGUCUGCCAUUUCUUAUCAUUUGAUGAACAACAAGGAUCCCGAAUACAGAAAUGGAAAACUCGUCAUAUCAUCGAAAAGGUCAAAUCCGUUUCUCUCCCACAGUUAAUGUUAGCGUUUAGCAUUAAGUUUUCUGAUUUGGGUCACAUUGAUGCAGUUUGGCAUAUGGAUUGAGCAUAUUCCAGGGGAAGUCCAUCGGCAAUUACAGGUUAAAACUGGAGGCACCAACUGAAACAUUAAAGGUUUUAUAAUCUUAGCUAAGUUGUUUUAUAACAUUAAACAAAAGGAAUUAAAUGGUACAUUACAAAGCUUAUGUCCCUAUCAUGUACAAUGAGUAUUUGUAGGAAGCUGGAACACUUUCUGUAGGUAUUAAACCAGAAUCAAAAUCUGGGAUCCGAACCGGAACUGGAACCACAAAUCCUGAAAAGACUGACAGUGAAAAUUCUGCUUCAGUCAUCAAAGUUCCUGUGAGUUAUCGUCUUGUUUUUUGUAGUAACCAGUUCCUUCAAUAUUCGGUUUUGUCAUGCUCCAUAUUGAUCCGCAGGAAGUUGUUCCAGACAACGAAUUCGAAAAGAGAAUAAGACACGAGGUCAUACCAGCAAACGAGAUCAAUGUUACAUUUGCUGACAUUGGUGCCUUAGAUGAGACGAAAGAAUGCCUGCAAGAGCUAGUGAUGCUUCCCUUGAAAAGGCCAGACCUUUUCAAAGGUGGCCUUCUAAAGCCUUGCAGGGGAAUAUUGUUGUUCGGUCCACCUGGCACUGGGAAGACAAUGCUAGCCAAAGCCAUUGCCAGGGAAGCUGGAGCUAGCUUCAUUAAUGUGUCAAUGUCGACCAUUGCUUCUAAAUGGUUCGGGGAAGACGAGAAGAACGUCCGAGCUUUGUUCACAUUGGCAGCCAAGGUCUCUCCGACAAUUAUAUUUGUUGAUGAGGUCGACAGCAUGCUCGGCCAAAGGACUCGAGUUGGAGAGCACGAAGCUAUGCGGAAGAUAAAAAACGAGUUUAUGACUCACUGGGAUGGACUCUUGACAAAACCAGUUGAACGUAUCCUUGUCCUUGCUGCAACCAACAGGCCAUUCGACCUUGAUGAAGCUAUCAUUAGGCGUUUUGAGCGUAGGUAAGUACGUUCACCCAUAAUAUUAAGUACCAGAACUAUUGAUAUCAUGUUAAACAUACAUCGUCACUUGUUUUUGCAGAAUCAUGGUGGGGCUUCCAGGUGUAGAGAACAGGGAAAAGAUUUUUAGAACUCUUCUGGCAAAGGAAAAAGUAGAAGAAAAUCUAAAUUAUGCCGAGCUUGCAGCCAUGACUGAAGGAUAUACUGGAAGUGACCUUAAGGUUUGCAUUUUGAUUUAAGAUUUUCUUUUUUAUAUUUUUUAGAUAGAAUUAAUUGAAAUAUAAUCAUUGUAAUUUCCUGUUUACAACCAGAAUUUAUGCACAACAGCCGCUUAUCGUCCAGUUAGAGAGUUAAUACAGCAAGAGAGAUUGAAGGAUAUGGUAAGUUCCUCACUUCAUUUAAGUCCCUCUCAACCGUUUGUUUUGGUUUUAAACAUACAUCACUCAAAAUCAAGAAUGAAUACCAAAUACGGGUGUCAAACAUGAGUACUUCAAGAAAAACAAACAAUUGCAGGAGAGAAAGAAGAAAGAAGCUGAAGGGCAGAACUCAGAUUAUCCCUCGACAAAAAAUGACGAUGUGGAGGAAAGAGUUAUUACCUUAAGGCCAUUAAACAUGGAAGAUUUAAGGCAAGCAAAGAAUCAGGUAACCAAAUUAUUCCAGAUCAAUGUUACAAUUGCCAACAAGUAUUAGAGGAAAUACUCACAUUGUGUUUCCAUUUUCCUGCUGAGCAGGUGGCAGCUAGCUUUUCUUCCGAGGGAGCUGGAAUGAACGAGUUAAAACAAUGGAACGAAUUGUACGGAGAAGGUGGUUCGAGAAAGAAGGAGCAGUUAUCGUACUUCCUAUGAGAGAGAGUUUGAUUCGUUUUUAACAGUUACAAAAAUUAUCUCUACAAUAGUUUCGAGUUAGUGUACACUGUAUAAGUAUAAUCCUUAAGAUAGAGCUUGUUUUACUCUAUUUCUGGGAUUCUCAAGAGCUAUAAGUGCACUUUGACUUGUGCUCUUUUAGCUUUAAAAGUCAUACAAUUACCUCAUUGGGAGUUAGCAACUUAUAAAUACUACUAUAGAAGUUUAAAUGAUCAUCGAGGUAAACCAAUCCAAAAACACGGGUUGAGAUUUCUCCCAAAUUAUAAUGCACUAAUCAACUUGCAGUAUUGUCACAGAGCACGUAGAUUCGGGGAAAGAGUACAACAAAAAUGAUAUUAAAAAAGGAUACCAUAUUCAUCAACAUUGUGAACCCAGUAACUAUGAAGAUAAAGGAUGAAAGGGUUCGAGCUAAUACCGGAUAAAAUUUAACACCGCCUUUAAAAAGGCUACAUCUAGGUCAGUAAACCUAGUCCUUCUUCUUUUCCUUUGAUGGUCCCCUUGGAAUCUUAUUUAAAACAUUUGCAUUGAACACCGCAUACUGUUUCUUAAUCUCAUGCAUUGCUUUCUCUGCAAAUGGAUCCACCUUGUCCUCAUAUUUCUCAUACAGCACAGGGACAGUGUGAAGCAGGACAAAGACUGUUUCGCAAAACCAAUUAAAUAACAUUAAGAAAAGAAACUGUUUCUAAGGGUUUAAAAAACAAAAGCACUUGAAAGCAAUUCCGGUACCUAUGUAAAACAAUGUCACGAAGUUGCACCAACUUCCAACAAUAGACAAGAUCCACAAGCCAGCAAUCACCUGAACAAUCGAAAUGCCAUUCGGAUAUAACUUUAAAAUGCAAAAUAACAUAAUUCGUAACUCUUAUAUCAAUAAAAACUGAUCAACACAUAACAAUUCAAGAAAACAAGUAACAACAUACAUAAAGGAACUUCUUAAGAUCUCUUCCUGAAGCAAUAUCCCGGAAGACGGUAAAAGCCAGGUUAGUCUCAAACCUAAGUGCUUCGGCAAACUCUAUAACUGGAUCCUUAGGUAUAUGAACCUCACGGAUGCAUAGUGGAGACCUAUUCAAAACAAAAGCAACUUACAUUAACACGAGCAAAAAGAAGCCACAAUCCAAAAUAUAAACUCCAAGAGUAGACAUCGACAGCUUACUUGUUGAUGAAAGCAUAGGCAUUUGACCACAAGAAGAGUAUUACGAGAGCAAAUAUCAAUACAUGACAAACUAGAGUGAGAAGGUGGUACUCCAGCAAUUCAAACAAAACCCAUAUCACAGUCGCAACACCGAGCACUCCAGCCGAAAUCUUUUUGUUCCUCCAAAGGAAUGUAUCAGCCGCUAUUGCAUAUACACUCAAUUUCAUUACAAAAGCAUGCAUCAUAAAAGAAAUUACACACAAGAAGUACUAAUUAUAUAAUCAAUUAAAAUGCCAAAUUAUCAUCUUCAAGUAAGGUUAUUGAUAACCAGUACUACAACAUUUUGAAACUUUUAAUAAAUUAAGACAAUCCCAAAAUUUAUUCGCUUCAAUAAAGCAAAAAAGAAAGAAAGUAAUCUUUACUAGAGAUAAUCGCAUCCAUUUAGUUAAAGAUUCAGAGAUUCAAAAUUUUUUAUUUUUCUCAAGCUAAAACAAAUGUUAAGAGAUUAAAAACCAUGAUUAAGCUCAAACAGCACCAAUUAAUCAAUACCAAAAGCACGAUAAACGUUAAUAGGCCGAAUCUACUUCUUCAAUGAACACCAAAAAAUUCAAAGAAAUCGGGAAUUGAACUCGUAUUCAUUACGAAAAUCCAAACUUAAAAGAAAACCCAGGCCUCUAAAAGCUAAAAAAUAGUGUACAAAUUUAAGAAAUGAAGAAAUGGGGUUUUGUUAACAUACAUUUGCCUCCACCAAAAACGUGGUGUACGGACCUUUCUCUCCCGAAGAGACGGAAAACUUUGGCCUUGAUCGACGAUUCUGAUGGCUCAUCGAUGUCGGAAUCAGAGGAAGAAUCAUGGCCGUGGAUCUUCUCAGCUAGCUUCACCAUCAGCGAUUCCUCGUGCUUCUCUUCGUGCUCACCCAUUUUUUUCCCACUCAAAUUCUAGAACCGAUCUACUCGUUUCUAACGCUUUGAAAGUGUGAAGAUCGAGACAAGAAAAUUAAAACUUUUAUAUUUAGAAAAUUGGAGGGAAAACCCGGUAGCCAAAGCUUUGGUUUUUAAAUUUAGGUAAACUAUAUUCAUAGUAAAUUAAAACUCAAUUAUCAGUCUUUUCUCCGUCACUUAUCUAUGAAAUGUGCUAAAAAGGUCACACAAUUUAUAGGGUUUAUCUUUUCGGUCACCAUCCCAGCAUCCCUUGCUAAGCUAACCUGAUAUGAUAGUUUUUUUUUUUUUUUAUUUUCAUAAUAAUAUAUUUACUCUUUUAACAUUAAUUUCGUUAUAAUUUUAAGACAAUUAUGGAUGCAACUGAAAUGGAGAAAUUGAAACCCUAGUGAUAGUAGAAAAAGUUCACUUUACCCAUUUCAUUUGCAUUUGUUUUAAUGACUAUGUAUUUUUAAUAUUUAUUUUAAUAUAAAAAUUAUGUAAAUAACUUUUAAUGAUUAUUAUUUAAAAUAAAUAUGAUUUUUUAAUAUAAAUAUUAUUUAAUAAGUUUUAAUGACUAUGUAACAUAAAUAUAAUUUUGAUAUAUAUAUAUUUAUUAUAUAUUUAAUAUAUUUUAAAAUUAUACUUUUUUUUAUUGAUGAAUGUAAAUAUAAGUUUAAUAAAAUUUAAUUAUCCAUUAUAAUUAAAUACAUAUUUUAAUCUAAUGUCUUUAAUAGUCAUUUUCUAUUUUCAUCUUAUUGCUACAGCUGCAUUUAAAUUCAAACAUUGUUAUAGUAUCCAAUUUCAUCAUUACAGUAACUAAUCUUUACUGUCACCGUUGUUUUUAACCUCACCGGAGGUAAAUGGACUGCUCAUCCAAACUAAGUCUUGUCUUCAAUAUUUAUAUUAGUAGAUCUUGAGACUAAAUUUGCAGGGUUUAAUUAAGAUUUUCAAAACUCUUAAAAGUUUAAUGAAAUUUCCUUUUGUUUUUUAAAAUGGGAUUUAUUUUUAAAAAAAUUUGUGAGAUUUAUGAGAAUUUCCAAAAAUAAAUUAAGAUAAUUUACUUAAAAUUUUCAAAAAUAAAACAAAGUAAAAUGAGAAUUUUAAAAAAUUGGAAGCUUAAUUAAAAAAUUCUAAGAGAAAAAUGAAAAAUUUUCAAAAAUUUUGAGAGGCAAGGCCAUCAUUGGCCACUGUUACCAUUUACCCGCACUUUAUUAAUUUAAUAUUAAUUCUAAAAAAUAAAAAAAAAAUUAUAAAAGUUUCAUUAAUUGAUAAAAGUAAUAAAUUAAAGUUUAACUUGCCAGAAGGUGUAAACCACGGAUUAAUCUACUUAUUGAGGCUCCAUCUCCAUUAAAUUUUGGUUUCAAUUGUAUCUCUUCAAUACAAAUGUAGUUAGCAUGUAUGUUUCCGCCAGCUUCUAACCCAAUAUUUUUCACAAAACUAUAUCAAUUUAUAACUUCAAAUAUAAAAGUUUUCCGUUUUUCUUUAAAAAUGGACACAUUUGCAAAAGUUCAAUACCAUCUAUGAAUAUGUUUAUCUAUCAAUUGCAUUCAAAUUUUGUUUUAGAAGCAGGUUGAGUUUUAGCUCGACUGGUAUGGGUAUUAUCGCCAGCACAGGAGGUCGUAGGUUUGAGUUCACUGAGGCGCAUUAUUCUCCUAUUUAUACGUAAUUAAUCUAGAAAGAAAAAUUGUUUUGUUUUGUUGACAACAUGGUGUGGUCGAGACUUGACUUUUAUGAUGUAACAUCAUUAUCACAACGUGAAGUAACGAUAACCAACUUCAUUAUGGUAGCAAAUUACAUAUCAUCUUACCACAUAUCAAUAUAAUCUCUUUCCUAACAAUAUUUUAAUAUGAUAGCAGCCAGCCCUUUGUUUGUCCUUGAACAGAACCAAAUAUUUUCUCUACCUCCAAAAGAAAACGUUUGGUUCUCAUCUUGGUUGCUAUAGUUUAAUGUAAAUUCUAUUACCUAAUAAAAUCUAAUAUGAGAAGUUGGGUUAACAUUCCUACUCCACCCCACCCAUAUGUAAAUGAAUGGGUUAUCCAUCGUCUUCCGAAUUGGGCUCCAUGAUUUUGGUUUUAUUUGAAGGUAGAAAAGAAACCUAGAAAGGCCAAGGUUGGGCUUCGCCUUAGGCUAACCCCAAUGGAGGAAACAGUUUGAAGUUGUAAUUCCAAGUCAAAUUAGUGAUGAUUGAUGAAUGCCGCACAGUAUUUAAUUCUAUAUAACUUUGGUAUUUUGUUAAUUGGAUUAGUUGGUUACUUCAACAAAGCUCCAAGUAUAAAAAUAUCACCCUCCCUGCCUGCAUCAUCAUACGUCUAUCACUCUGCUCAAUCCAGUCAAUAUCUACUACAUUAAUCCUUCAAAUUUCUAUUAGAGAGUCGGUCUUUGUUGAAUUAUACCUUAUUCUUGUAUUCCAGUAUAUCUCAAAUGUUAAAAUUCGGUAUAAAUAUUUAAAAUCCGAACCAAGUAAAUAUGUUGCAAUAAGCUCUACAUAACAUUGAUCAAAAUUUAUUCACUCUCUAUACAGCAUCUCCUUACUUUUCAUUCAGCUGUUGUGUUGCAUCCUUUAUAAGUCCAGCAAAUUUAGCUGAUAAUACACGAAUUCGGAUUUUCUUCCGCACUUACGACUCGAUAAUAUGUAGUCAUGUGAGGAUUAUAGGCCUUGUAAGCCUUAACAAGCUCAGCAAUCUGAUCACUUUCUUUCUUUUUAUCAUCCUCCUUCUUGCCACCGCCGCCGCCGCCACCACCGCCGCCACCUUCAUCUUUCUUGGCUCCUCCAUCUUUUUUCUCUUCUUUCGCCGGUCCAACCGUUAAAAUCUCGGUAUGCCAUUGUUUUCUCAACUUGUUCACUAUGUUAAUCGGGUCAACGUCGCCGAUCACUGUCAACUUCUUGUCUUUCAUAUCCAUCGAAAUAGAAUCAACACCUACAAAAAUUAGAGAGAAUUGAAGAAGACAAGUUCCUGAUAAUAAACCAUUAACAUUAGAGAACAAAAAGAGAUGUUUUAAGCAAGUACCGGAGAGACCGGAAACAGCUUUCAUGGCUUUCUGUUUCUCUUUGCCUUCAUGUAAAUCCAAUUUCAAGACAACUUUCUGUAAGAAGAAAACAGAAAGUGAAACCAAAUCAGAGUCAGAGAGAAACCCAUGAAAGAUUCAAUAUCUUUGGUAAGAAAAAGUGGGAGGAAAAAUAGAUUAAAGGGGAAGGAAACUAGACCUUCAUUGGUGCUGAAACAGGAAGCAGUGACCAAACAAAACAAUGAUUGAGACGAUCACGAAAACCAUCAAAUUAUAAGACAACAUAUAAAUAGACGAGGAGCGGGUAAAAUCCGUGUUAAUGGUAAGGUUUAAUUUCGUCCUCUGUCCCUGUAUUCUUUGAAAUUUUAAAGUUUAGUCCCUUUUUAAGAAUUAAAGUCUCAAUUGAUAUAUUGUUAAUUAAAAUUUAUUAAAUUAGAGUAUACUUCUAUAGUGUUUAUAUAUUGUCAAUAAAUAAUAUUAAGAAUUGCUAUAUUUGUUUUUAGAAGGAUUCAACUUCAAAAGCUUGUAUUAUUUGUGCUUCUACUUAUAUAAUUAUAGUUGAUUAUUUACCAAGUCUUUGGCUUUGAGUGUUCAUGUUUUACUUUAUUUAAAUAUAUAUUUGACUUAAAUUUUACUAUAUACAAAUUAUUUUCAGAAUUAUUCUGAUUCAAGGUAAAUUAUAUAUAUAAUAAUAUGAAUGUACAAACUUUGUAAUUGUCAAUCUAAUUGAUUACCAAUCAAGUAGAAAAGGAGAUGUUAUGUGAAUUUUAUAAUAGCAUUGUUUUUUAUUUAGGUUUCUUUUAGUAGUGUAUUACUCGAAAUUUAUACAUAAGACUUAUAUUAUUUUAUAAAUUAGUAAUUUUAUAUUUUUAAAUUGAUUUUUUAAAAAUUUUAUUCACGCUAUUUAGCUAAUGAAUGCAAACAUACUUGCAAUACUAUUAGUAAAUUUUUUAAUCAUAUGAGAUAAAAAUAAAAAAAAAAUUAUCUAAGGUUAUUGGAAGAAAAAAGAAUAAUCGGAUAUUAAUGUUCUAAAAGAAUUUGAUGAAUCAUUAUAAGUUAUAAUUUUCAAUAUCAAAAUCAGAUUCUUGUUUAUAUUUGGCCAUGAAUAAAUAUAAAAAUACUAUUUAGUAUUUGCUUAUAAAAUAAUCGAGUGACUGACAUAGUUAUCGAAAAACAAAAUAAUGGUUUUAUAUAUUUUCAAAUAAAACUUUUUGUUUUUAAUAUUUAUUUGUCUUCAGUCCAGUUCCAAAUCAACAUUUUGUAAAUUUCUAUUGAUUUUAUCUUAAUAUAACUUUAAAUAAAGUGAAUAAGAUUUUAAAAACAUCAAUUUAAAAAUAUAAAAAUACUAAUUUAUAGAAUAAUGUAAACCUUAUAUAUAAUUUCGAGUAAUACACUACUAAAAGAAACCUAAAUAGAAAAUAAUGCUAUUAUAAAAUACAUAACAUUUCCUUAUCUACUUGAUUGGUAAUCAACGUGACUAGCACAAUUCUAAUUUAGACCACACUUGAAACGUUGAACACCUUAACCAUCAAACCAACGCAUGGGUUGAAUCUCUUCUUUAAUUCUAUUAGGAUCUCUAUCCUCAACUUGAUUUAUUUCUUAUCAACUAAAUCAGCUUUCUCUAACACUGGAUCAUUAUCCUCUAUUCUUAUAAUAUUAGGAAGUAUAAAACAAGCAUUAAUUAUCCUUAUUUGGGUUUUUAUAUAUAAAAACAGGGUUCUUAAUAUAGCCCAUCGUUUCUUUACUAAUCUACAUGUUGGAGAUCGAUCCGGUUAAGCAACAAACAAGUAAAAAAAAGCGGAAUAAAUUAAGAAAUUGAACACACAAAUUUAACAUGGAAAAACUCCUCCAAAGAUAAUAAAAAAUCACGGGCAAAGAUAAUUUUACUAUAAUGGCAAAAAAGAACGAAAAGUACAAAAGAUGGAGAUAAAAACUAAAGCCAAAAAUCUAAAAACAAAGAACUCUCAAAACGUAAAUACAAAAUUCUCUAAAAGUGUUAUGAGUUCUAAGGUUGUAAAAGAGCCUAUUUAUAGGCUAAAUUCAUAGGUUAAAUAAUAAUAAAAUAAUCUAGACUAAUCAGAGUUUGAUUUAAACAAAUAAACAGAGUUUAACUGGAAAAUUGUUUCUCAAAUUUGACUGAAAUAGGAGUCAUACUUAACACCAAAUGAUCUACCCCAUUAAUUUAAAUGAUACCUAAUCCUUCGAUAAGGUGCUGAAAUCCUAGGUCAAGAAAGUAUUUAUUUAUAUUAUAAGACGAUAAAAAAAUUAAUUAAUGAAAUUUCAUUAAUUUAGUAAUGAUUCAUAUACCACUUAUUUAAACAAAACUAUUAUCAUUUGGAAUAUAAAGACAAUUACAUCUAUAUCUUGUAAAACUUUAAGAGUCAUCAUAUGAUCCUUCCCAUCCAAGUAAUACAUAUAUGAAAUUUUAUAUUUGAAGCACAAACUGUUAAUGCGUCUGUCGAGAUAUCACCUUUCUAAUUUCGAUAUCUAAGUCUAUAUUUGACAUUCACAGUUACUAGAAAUGAGUUCCAUUAGUAUAACUCUAGUAAAUAUAUAUAUAUGUUAUUAAAUUUUAUAAUUUAACAAUUUUUUUUGUGAAAAUGACUGAUAUUAAUAUUAACAGGCUUAAAAGGAGUAGCUAAAAGGCCACCAAAACAGACAAAAAAGAAAAUCACAACUGUCCAAUAUAAAAGAAAAUUAAAAACUACGCCUAGAAAGUAACGAAACAUCAAUAAGCAAAAAAUGCGUGAGCCUGCAACAAAACUUUUCAAUCUCCAUUAUCAGCCACAGCAGGGCUCCAUUUCCUUCGUAUUAUCGAUCAGAGACCCAGAGCCAGCAACGCUUUGCAAACAAUAUUAGAGAUUCAAUGAACCUUCUCUAACUCAAAGCGAACAUAUGGAACUUAGGUCCGUUGGCACCAUCGUAACCAGUCUUCCUCCACCACCAGUCGCACAGUCUCCGGUAUUCCAUUAACCCAGGCCCCACACACUUUCCGAUGUCGACUUUCCACUGCCAAAAUAUGGGCUACAGCGUUAAGCGGACGGUUCACAAACUUGUAAGAGACUUCAUCAAAGCCCUGGCGCAAUCUAUGAAUAUUAUGAACAAUCGACCUAAUAAUCGAUCUAUCUUCCUCAUUUUUAAUCAGUUUUUUAAUGACUGUCAGGGAGUCCCCUUCCACAAUCAACCGUUGAAAGCCCUUCAAUUUUGCGAGGAUCAGCGCUCUUUCACAAGCUCGUGCUUCCGCCACGAAUGCGUCAUCCACACCUUCCACCAGAUAAGUAACUGCUUCUAUAACUUCCCCUCUGUGAUUUCUGGCUAAGAUUGCUAUUGUCGCAAAAUUAUUUCCUGAAAUAUACGACGCAUCAAAAUUAAUUUUAAUAAAACCAUAGUCAGGAGGCCUCCAGACUUCAUUUCUCAUAAGAGCAGUAGAAUCACAUAGAUUCUCACGAACAAGCCAUGGAUCUCGCUCAUAGCCCCUGAUAAAUCCCAAUAGUUGUGGCAUAGAAAGCUUAAUCCCCUCAUGAACCAACUUAUUUCUAUGAAACCAGAAACACCAAAGAGUUAAAGCAAUAAACCUUUUUUUCGACCUUCUGCUUCAAGAUAUGUUUUAACAAAAUUAGCCUUAUAAUCCAGGGAAUCGUCCAAAGGGGGAAUUUGAACUUGCAACGAUGUCCAUAUAUUUCGAAGGACCCUACAAGACCCCAACAAAUGCGCUGUGGUUUCUAGAUCUUCCUUACACAGUGGGCAUACAGCCUCCUCACAUAGUGUUCGGCGUGCCAAGUUCCCAUAGUGUGGCACCAUGUUAUUGAACAAUCUCCAAACAUGUAUUUUUAUUUUCUCUGGAAUAUGCAAAGCCCAGAUAUCCAUGUAAAAACUUUUGUAUUAUUCAUUUGUAGAGGACAUGUGUAGAUUGCUCUGUAAAUAAUCUGUAAUAAGAACUCGAUACCCACUCCUGACAGUAUACUCACCUGAGCCUUCAUACUUCCAUACCAACAUAUUCUCUGGUCGGCUUUCAGAGAUGGGAAUGUCAAAGAUUCGAUUAGCAGUGUUAUCAUCCACUAGAUUGUGAAUCAACUCUCUAUUCCAGGUACUGUCUUCUUCAUUCAUUAACUAAUUCACUGUUGACCAAGGAGGCUUAAUUUCAAUAACUGGGAUUCUGUUAUUCUCUCUUCCAGGCAGCCAGGGGUCAUUCCAAAUGUUGAUACUUGCACCAUUUCCUACACGCCACAAGAUUCCAUCACUGAUCAGGUCCCGCGCACUACAAAUACUUCUCCAAGUAAAUGAAGGGUAAGAACCAACCUUUGCUGUUAGUAUAGUGGAAAGAGGGAAAUAACGGGCUUUUAAAACCUUGGCUAAUAAACAAUGGGGCUAGGUUAAAAUACGCCACACCUGCUUCGUUAAAAGGGCCUUAUUAAACAAGAAUAAAUUUUUAAACCCCAGCUCUCUAAAACUUUUCGGUUUAUACAGAACAUCCCACGAACUCCAAUGAAUCCCCUUCGAUGUUUUAUUAUUCGUCCACCAGAAUCGAUUCAUUAUUCCUUCCAAUGUUUUACAUAAUGACUUUGGCAAUAAAAAACACUGCAUAGCAUAAAUUGAAGUUGACUGCAAAACUGAUUUAAUGAAAACCUCCUUAUCCCCCAUUGAAAGAUAACGCAUACUCCACCCCUCCACCCAUUUUCUGAAUCGGUCCACAAAGUUAGCAAAAGCCCACUUUUUCCUCCUACCCACCAUCAUAGGCAAACCGAGAUACUUUUCAGGAUUUGAGGCCAGACGUACCCUUAAUAAAUUAACAAUAUCCUUCUGAACACUAGAGACGACAUUUGUAGCGAAAUAAAUGAGGGAUUUUUCAAAAUUCACUCUCUGCCCCGAGACCGUCUCAUAUUCAUGGAUAAUAGCCCGAACCACUUCAGCUCCUUCACAGGAGGCAUCACCAAAAAGAAUGCAAUCAUCUGCAAAAAAUAAGUGGUUGACCGAAAACUUCUCUCUACCUAUAGGUGCCCCCAUCAUCAUCCAUUUAGUUUUAGCUUCCUGAAUGAGCAGCGAAAACCCUUCAGCACAAAUCAAGAAUAAAUAAGGACUAAGAGGGUCUCCUUGUCUGAGUCCUCUCGAUGGUGUGAACCAGUCCCCGCUAGCUCCAUUAAUACUAAUAGAGUACGUGACAGAGCAUACACAACGCAUGACAAGAACGAUCCAAUCCUCAUGAAAACCCAGGUGCUUCAUCAUACCUGCCAAAAAAUCCCAUUCCACACGAUCAUACGAUUUACUCAUAUCUAGUUUAAACGCAAAGUUGUCUUUCUUACCUCUCUUUUUCAUUUUUAGGGAAUGAAGUAUCUCAUAAGCAAUCAGUACAUUAUCAGAUAUAAGCCUACCUGGAAUAAAGGCCUUUUGAGCUUCAUUAAUACAAGACCCCAGUGUUUCGCUCAUCCUCAAUACCAACACUUUUGCUAUAAUUUUGUAAAUGACAUUACAAAGCCUGAUAGGCCUAAAAUGAGUCAUGUUACUCGAUUUUUCAACCUUUGGAAUCAGGAUAAUGCGCGUUUUGUUAAUAACACUCAAAUCCUCUUGUCCCUGUAGAACGGAUAAACAAAAGCGGGUAACCUCAGGCCCAACAAUGUGCCAAUAACGCUGAAAGAAGAGGGCCAGAAACCCAUCCAACCUAGGGGCUUUCAAAGGCGUCAAGGAUUUGACUGCAUAGACAAUGUCCUCCUCCGUAAAUUGUCUUAAGAGCCUUUCAUUCAUACUACUAGUAACUUUUUCCUCUACUAAGCUAAACAAAUGCUCAUCCGAACCUGACUCUGAAGCAGAGAAAAGCUUACCAAAAUAGUCAGAAGCUACCUGGAGGAACUCCUCAGUGGAAUUAGUACUUCUCCCAGCUCCAUCUUCUAGUUCAGAAAUUCUACAACGAAAGUGACGUUGGACAGCUACCUUGUGAAAAAAGCUGGUAUUACGAUCCCCAUUCUUUAGCCAAUUCACCCACGCACGCUGCUCCUAAAAUAAUUCCUCCUUUUCAGCUUCCAACUUAACCCCCAAUUGGACCUCUAUAAUCUCAGCUAGAACUUCAUCUGACGGAUCUUGAGUGUAAAGAUUCAUUAAUCUGUCUUCUAAACGGAACCGAUUCCUCCGCUCCUUAAUACUAUUCAC
rnacentral:lncRNA from 1 species